rnacentral:lncRNA from 1 species
AAGGUUGAUCUGUUGGUGAUAUCCAAAUCCAUUUGCAAUUGAACCAAGCUUUUCAAAUUUCCACUCUAGAGGCUUGUGUGGUUUAGCGUAGCUAGCUCAUCAAUUUCCUGUGAAUUUUCACCAGUGUUACUCUUAUUGUGGGGAUUGUUGGAGAUUAUUUUAUUUGGAAUAGCUGAGGAAGUUGAAUUGGUAUUAUGAUAUAUAAAUUCCUUUGUAUUUUUAAUGAAUUAGUUCUCUUACAUUCAUAACCUUAGUCUUGAUCAAAGCGUUAUUCAAAUUUCGUAGUCGUCGGCACGAACUCUCUCCUCUUCAUGGUUUGAUAGGCGAUACUCGUUGCGAGAGUCGUUGACUAUCCGAACCUAACUAAAACUAGGAUGAAUGCUUAUAUACCCAUGAGAACUAGAGGAACUAGGCUGGGGUCAGAGUAGGAGCAUAGGGCAUAGGAGUCCUCUCUGUCCGGGCAAUAUUUCCUUAAUUUGGACUUUGCAGGGCAAUAUUCAGGAUAAUUUCAUUCUUAAUAUUAAUUAGUUGUGUUUGGUUAAAUUUGUCGUUUCGAUCUUAACUCUCGUCUUUCUUCAUUUGUCCAGCGUCCGAAUUUCGAAGAUUUCAAAGACGUAGAAGAGGAAGGGAGGAGGGAGAAGAUCUCUAUAGUUGGGGAUUUGCAUGAAUCAGUUUAUCCGAAGAGGUAUGUUGCCGAUGCAAGGAGGAGUCCUCUCUCACCGUCUCUUCGCAUCGCUGCCACCUCUGACUCCAUCGCCACUUCCGUCUAGAAGGUUUUGCCUUCUUAAUUCUUUUUCUGAUCUCUCCUUUCUCCCCUAAUGUUCAGAAUUAAAGGGCCCACUUCAAUUAGCAUAAGUUGGUACAUCCAAGGCCUAAUUUUUCCUGAUAUUCACAAAUUUUUCCUCCCCUUCCUUUCUUUGGGUUUUACAGAGAGGCACAUCUUUGGUAUGUAGUACCAGAUGAGUUGAAGGAUGCUUCCCAACUGAAGAAGUAUAUGGAACUCUUAUCUUCUUGUGAGCGAGAAAGGGUUUUAUCAAUGAACGGAGAACGCCUUCAAAAAGGUGCUUUGUUGUCACGUGCCUUGGUCCGCACCACCCUUGCAAGAUGUAUGAUUUUAUUUACUUUCCAUUAAAUCCCAUGAUGCUUGACGAAAUACUUAGAUGUACUCGCAUAUAUGCUCGAAGCAUGCUCUUUUUUAGCCUCGUUACUAUAAGCUGACUGAUUACAGCUAGAGUGCAAAGUGAUAUGCACGGUUCUUCAUCUGUCUCUGAUUUCCCUUUUGUUUGAAAAAUUCCUAUGCAUGUUUAAAAAUCUAAUUCGACACUGCCUAUUUCAGCAAAUAAUCCUCUUCCUAGUCCUGUAUAAAACAUUAUAAGAAAAACAAAAGUUAUUGGUGCAGAACAAGUAUAUAUAGACUAUAGAUCCUAUUUCCUUUGUCCCAUGGCAUUUCUAAUGCAUAUCGUUGCGUAUGAAAAAUAAGCAAAUUGCAAAAUUAUUCUGCCAUAGUAACUGAUUAUUGAUUUUGUCUAAAUUAGAUUUGAUGCAGAUUGUAGAGUCAAUCCACAAUCAAUCAAGUUCAAAACAAGCAAAUUUGGGAAGCCUGAGGUAAUAAGUUAGAGAUACCAGUCUAUACUUCUUUAUAUGCCAUGCUCUUUGUCCGUCUACACUUUUAAGCGUCUACUGUCGCUGAGCUCCUUGACUGAUGCGUAAUAUUUGCUUGAUCAGAUAAUGUGGCAACAUGGUGAUCAAUGUAACCAGCCUUCCUUGCAAUUCAAUGUUUCGCACUCCUCUUCCUUGAUUGCCUGUGGCAUUACUGUAGAUGUUCCGGUACUGUUCAUUUUCCUUUUCUUAUACCAACAUAAAAAUUUUACUUUGUUCUUACUAACUAUUCUCGAGUUAAUAUUGUGGCUGGUGUUUCUAGCUAAUGUAUUUUUUAUUUUAAUGAUUCAGAUUGGCAUUGAUGUUGAAGAAAAGCAACGAAAGACAAUGAGUAGCAUCUCAUCUCUUGCUCGCCGCUAUUUCUCACCUUCUGAAGUUGAAUAUUUGGGGUCUUUUUCAAAUACUGAUGCCCGGCAAAAAGAAUUUAUAAAACUCUGGACACUUAAGGUGAGUGAGAUUUUAGAAGGUCCUUUUUCCACUCAUUUGUUCUUUUCUUCUUAUUUUUCAUUAUAAUUAUCUGGAUUUCUUUUGUUUCAUGCUUUUGUCAUUCCUCACUAAGUCCUCUUGAAAGAGAAGUAAGAUAUGGGUCAGAGAUAAUUACUCAAACUAAGAAUUACCCUGUAAUAAAUAGGUGAAUUCGGAGUUCAUAGUCCUUUGAUUGCAGAUUGAAGACAGUAAGAAAAGAAACUGAAGUUGAUAGGAUAUAAAUCAUGCAUACAAGCCAUGGUUCCUGCAUUUUAUUAGUUCAUCAGUACAUAUGGGCAUACAUAUGUGAAUACACAGAGAUUUUGGCAACUAACCGUUGUGUUCAAUUUCUAGGAGGCAUAUGUAAAAGCUCUCGGAAGAGGCUUUUCUGGUGCUCCAUUUAAGGAUUUUACCAUUCGGCUGGAAGCAACCAAAGCAAUGCAAUUAGCUGCGGUACUUAUGUCUACGCUUCGUUCUAUAUUAAAACUUUUGCUAUGACUUUGUAUUUCGAGCUAGCAGAAAUGGCAAUUUCAAUGCAUCUGAUUUUUAUUCAUUUAUAUUUAUUUCCUAGGUGCCCAGAGUGCAUAUAGAAGCUGAUUCUGAUCCUGAAUACCUAACUGAUAAUUGGGAGUUUGCACUCUUCGAACUUAGUAGUUCUCAUUACGCUGCCGUUUGCAUGGAAAGGGACAUAUCUCAUUCUGGUGGGUAUUUGAAAUCUUCACCUUUCCAGAACAUAAGUGAGGAGCUUAAACUUACCAAUCUUUUUAACUGUUCUCUUUUAUUUUGUUGCAUAUUACAGGCAGGGAGAAUGAGCCGCUGAGAUUGAAAGUAUGGAAGACGAUUCCAUUCGUAGAAGACGAAUUUGUUUCUGGGACCAAUGCAGUAAAAUAUAUUUGUGGACUAUCUUGAGUCAUUCGCUGCACUAUUUGAUGCUUUUAUCCACAAAUUUAAUUAUCACUGCAUUGGACUUAAUUUUUGUUCUAACGACCGCAGCUCUGCGAACACUGACAGAGCUUCGAACCAAGAUAGAGCUUCUGAAUCUUACUCGCUCGGCAAAAGGGAGAUUGCUGUAAGUCGAGCUCCUCGGUGUUUUCAUGCAUCUUCUUUUAGAAUAACUAAUUUUUCGUUCUUUUUAGCUUGCUCCUGCAACAUGUCUAGGCUGAUUCAGUUAAGUUGGGCUCCAUUUUGAGUUGUCUUUCUCCAGAUUUUUCGAACUUACUUCCUUUUUUUGGAUAGGAAGAAUGUAGUUAGCAUUAGCCAUACAACAUCCCUUGAUUAAUAUAAUUUUUAAUUUUUUUUUGGAAAUUGCUCAGUAUAUCAACUUAAAAGAAGGGCAAUUGUUUAUAUACUCCUGCAAGGCUUCUGAGUUUCUUAUUUAUUUCUUUUAGAAGACUAAUAUUGAAAAUAUUUUUUUAACAUUCUACGGUUUUUCAAAUAUAUCCUGAACUAUUACGAACAACUAUCAUUUUUGUUAAAUUAUUAUUUUAUCCUUUCAAAUAUAUUCUUCUACUGUUAUUAAUUUUUUUUCUUAUUUAUUCUUAAGUUAAGAGCAAAAAAAAUAUUUUGACUUCUUUUUUUUCAAAUAUAUUUUUUUUACUGGCAGUAAUUUUUUUAAUUUGCUCUUAAGUCAGGAGUAAAAAGAGGUAUUUUAAAUUUUUUUUUAAAAACUCUAGUGAAAAUUUAAUAUGGGUUUAUUUUGAGAUGACUUAACUGGUACUAGUGAAGGUAUUUUUGAAUAACGAAAAAAAUUGUAUUUUUGAAUAAUGAAAAAAUUUGUGAGGGGUAUAUUUGAAACCAAAAAAAAAAAAAAUAGAUAUUUUAAAAAUUUUGAAGGGUAUAUAGAUAAUUAUUCCUUAAAAGAAAAUGCUAAUCGCAAAUAUUUGCACGAACACGAGUUGACUCGUUUACCGAAAAAUUCAGCUUGUAUUUUACUCGUUAAUAAACGAGCCCAACACGAGCUGGCUCAUGAGCUGGCCAACGAACAAUAAGUUAAAAUGAUUAGAUUGAACAUAUAUAAAAUAUAAAUUUAUAAAAUCUUAUUCAUUAGAUUUUAAUCUAAUAGUUGAAAUUUUAUAAAUAAAUGAGUCUUUUUAUAAUUUAGCUCGUUUUUAUAUUUUUAUUUUGCUAAAAAUUAAAUAAUAAAAAUAUAUAUUAUAUAUAUAAUUAUUUAUAUAUAUUUAAAUAUAAAUUAAGUAAAUUAUAUAAAUAUAAAAUAUAUGUAUUCAAGCUGUUAUCAAGUCGAACACGAGCGAGCUAAUCCCAGCUCGUGUUCGGAUCGUUUACUAAACGAGCUGAAAAAUUCAGCUCGUGUUCGGCUUGUUUACUAAACGAGCUGAAAAAUUCAGCUCGUGUUCGACUUGUUUACUAAACGAGCGAUUCGAUCUCGAGUUCAUUUGAACUGGCUCGCGACCAGCGAGCUGGAUUGCCACCCCUAGUGCGGGGUGCUCACUGGUGCACGUUGGACCCAUUUUGGGUGUGUCGGCGCCGUGCCAACGCGUACGCAGUUACGCACGUAACUGUCAUGCGUGCUGUGCGUACGUUCCUGAUCACCUUCCCUUGGGCCGUAAUCAAACGGUGCAUUUACUGCUGUCCCCUAAUUUUAAGUUGUAUUUAUAUCAUAUGAUUUUAUUUUAUUUUUUUGUUUCACCCUAAAAUAUAGGAUAGAAUAAUAAAGUAAUAAGAUAAUAUUUUUAAUAUGUAGUAUAGCAUUUUAACAUCUUGUAGUUUGCAGGAAGUAUUAUUUUAUGGUAAAAUAUAAGUAAAUUAUUCACUAGUUACUUAUAUUUUUUGGUAAAUCUCGUUGGAAUCUAGACUUCCUGCAAACUACAAGAUGUUAAAAUGCUAUAUAUAUUUUGAGAGAUAAGUAGCACGCUACCGCUUCGUUUAUUUUAUUUAAAAAUAAACUUAGCUGGAAAUGUGAAUCAAUUAGGAUUCGAACUUGAGUUUCGGGUACCAACCACCAAGCCCUUUCUUGGGCAAUAGAUUUGGGUCCUGUUUAACUUCAGCUUCGAUAUAAUUUCCACCUGAAAUCUGAAAACAAAACCAAAUUUUAACGAGCUUCGCAUAGAAUUUCUAUCAGAUUUUACCCAAAAAAAAGAAGAAGAAGAAACUUAGUAUGACAUUUUGAAGAGAACCUAAAUGCUCAAAAAUAAAUUCAACAUAUAAUUUUUUGAUAACAUGUUGCUGUUCCUAUUAUGUCGGAGACAACAAUACUGUGUACUCCAAGAUCAAUAAUUACGAUAGUGGGUGCGAUCCGUGCUGUAAACUUUAAUUGGGCCACGCUUUGGGUAUGUGAAUCAAAUUUUGUUUCAGGGGCCUUUGCUUUUGAUUAUUAGAUCCCUUGUAAAAAUUUGGGUAGUUGAUAGUUGCUCCUCAGAAAAAGCAAACCGCGUCAUAUUAUUAUUAUUAAUUAUUAUUAUUAUUAUUAUUUGUGGUAUUUGGUGGUACCCCUCCAUGGUGUUUUUACGAUUCUACCCAUGUCGUUUGAGGAAAUGACAUGAAGGCCUUGCCAAUUUUAUAGUCUCUCUUUAUUGUGGCCUGAGUGUUGCUUUUGUUUUUGUUUUCUUUUUUAAGACUUUUCCUAUGUAUUUAUUUUUGCACUCUGAUUUAAAAAAGAAUACAUUAUGUAUGAUGAGAUAAGAUAGUAAUUUUAAUAAUCUCUUUUUUUUUUAUUUAAAAUAUUUAAAUUGUUAUUAUUCAACUCUAAUUUAGUAAUUAUAAAAGGCGGUAGUGAAAUAGUAAAGUUAUUAUAGAUUUCUUACCUAGUAGGAAUAUUAGAUUAUUACAAGUUACGUGGUAUUCUAUUAAUAAGACUAUGCUAUUUCUUAACAAUCUCAUAACUCAAGUGGCUUUGUAAGUAAGUAAUAAACUUACCUUUUUAAAUAUAAAAUAUAUAAUAUUUUCAGAAUAUUAUAAAUUUUGAACCAAACAGUUUUUUUUAAAAAACCCUAUAUAUAUAGAAAAAAAGUUAAUAAAAUUGGAGAGUGAAUAUAACUGUUUGGACGGAUGAGAUGUAAAUUUUGCACCUAAUUUAGGAGUAUAUAGGUAACAUAGCUUUUAUUUAUAAUUAUUUGGUUAUUAUAUGGUUUCUUUAAUUGUACAAAAAUAUAGAGAAGUACAUUUUUGCUUAUGUAAACACUCAAUAAUAGAGUGUAAACUUUUCUGGAUACUGGUACUAUAUAUCUAACAUCAUGUAUUUUUACCUUUGCCCAUCUUUCAUUUCAUCUGAUUUAAAUUAUUUGACUUUUAACAGAGAAAAUUCUGUAACUUACUGAGAUGGAAUGAAGGAUAAUAUUACCGAAUAUAAUAUAAAAAAAAAAAACUAAAUGUACCAUUAAAUAGAUUCUCUUUUAAAGUAUUAACAAUUUUGGACCAACCUUAGAUGGCCACGUGCUCACCUAAACCAUCUCUACCUCCACCGGGACUUGUAUUUUUAAAAAUAAUAAUUUAUUAAACAACAAUUUUUUGCAUCAUUGCGCCGGCUUAAUCUGAGAUUCCAACGUGUCACACGUUGCGCCACUUUGGACCAAACCCGAACUUAUGGUCCAAACCCGAAUGGGCGAAUAGGUGGACCCAUCAAUGUAUGUGUCUGAUUAUAAUAAUAGAGUACAACCCCACGAAACGUUUUAUGGGAUCACGUGCGCGGGUCCACGUGGCACUGUUUGCUACCGCAAAUCCCGCGAGGGUUAGAUUGCACGUGGUAUAAACAAAAAGGUGGGGCCCACAUGUCAGUGAAUACACUGAAUAAAUUUGUGUGUGAGAAAGGUCAACGGCAUAAUUUGACUGUUAAUUAAGAGGUGACUAAUUUCCAACAGUGCCUCGCCCCACGAACUUCUAGCUCGCCCAUUUAUAUAUUUUCACGUUGUUAAUUACAAAACUUAUAUAUUUGCGUCUUAAUCACAUAAUUUUAGGAUGCUUUUAUUUUCUCAUUAUACAUUUUUAUUACGUCAGAACCUAUGAUUAAAAAUAAAGAGAAGCAGAAAAAGUUGUGAGAACUUGACGAAUAAUUUACGGCGUUCCACAAUAAAACAAAAAAGAUCACAUGCUUCAUGCCAGAAAGAACGCUACAAAAUAUUUACGACAAUAAUUGAUACAUCUACGUAUUAUUCGAAUCAUAUAAUACUAAUAUUUGUACUUUGGAAUAAGAAAUAGGACAAGUGAUCAUGACAUACAAAAAUUCAUUAAAAUAAUUUAAAAUUGAAAAUUUCUGCCCCCAACAUAAAUUGGGUGAAUAUCGGAGCGCCUAAUUGUCAAAACAUUGCUUUAGGGGAAAAAAAAAGAAAAAGAAAAAGAAAAAGAAAAAAGAAAAAGUCAAAACCGGCGAUUGUUCCAUACACGCCAACGACAUCGGGGUUUCAACGGUUGUGUUUGGCGCGACCACCGAUCGAGGGGCAUUUCGGUAAAAUGAGCCUUCCCCAGUGAGGGGGUAAUUUAGUAAUUUCACCUUUCAUCGUGCUUUUACUCUGCGGUAGGUGGUUUGACCACUGGGGUUAGGUAAGCGGACCCGGCGAUAAAAGCCCCGGCUCCUUCAUCGCCCCUUCCCUCUCUCAGGGCGCUCUCUCUCUCUCUUCUCACCCAACCCCACCAAACCCUAGAGAGAGCGAGGGAGAGAGAGAGAGAGAGAGAGAGAGAGAGACUCGAACUCUUCGAUCUCAUCGCCCCUUCCCCCUCUUCCACGAUCGGAGACGAUGGAGUCCGGAUCCAUGAAGCCGUCGCCGCUCGACCUCCUUACCGCGAUCCUCACCGGGAAGCGCCUCGGCGGCGGCGGCGUUGGCGGCGCGGCGCCGGAGUCGGAGGCGAUCGCCGAGGCCCGGGACCUCCUGAUGAUCCUCGCUACCUCCCUCGCCUUGCUCGCCGGGUGCGCCGCGCUGAUCCUGUGGCGGCGCUCGGUCGCCGCGGGGGGGAAGAAGAAGCAAAGUAAGGCGGUGGAAGCGCCGAGGCCGCUCGUAGUGAAGAAGGAGGCGGAGGCGGAGGUGGACGAUGGGAAGAAGAAGGUCACCGUCUUCUUCGGUACUCAGACCGGGACGGCGGAGGGGUUCGCGAAGGUUUGACCUUCAGAUCUCGGCUUCUAUCGACCUUAAUUUUUAUUUCAAAGCCUUUUUUUUAAAAAAACAUCAAAAGUAGCUAACUAUUCUCUAAUUAGGCACUCGCGGAGGAGGCUAAAGCGAGAUACGGCAAGGCCACCUUUAAAGUCGUUGAUUUGGUAUGACCCCUUUUUGUGGAACUUUUGAUUUAUAUUUGAAGAUAAUGCGAUUUAAUUGAUCUUAAAAAUUCUAUCCUUAUUGUAAUAUAUGUAGGAUGAUUAUGCUGCUGAGGAUGAUGAAUAUGAGGAUAAAUUAAAGAAAGAGAGCGUAGCUUUAUUCUUCUUGGCUACGUAAGAUUAUCUCUCUUAAAUUUUCUUUGAUUGCUUGAUGCACUUCAAAGUUUCUUCUUCUUUUUUUUGGUAAAUUUUGACACGGCAAUUUGGAUAUUGUAGGUAUGGGGAUGGUGAGCCAACUGAUAACGCUGCUAGGUUCUACAAAUGGUUUUCAGAGGUUACAGAACUUCUCGAUUAAUUCACUGCAGUUUCAUUUCUUCUUUCUGCUGGGAGUGCCUGAAUGCUGUUUAAUUUACAGGAGAAUGAGAGGGGAAAUUGGUUGAAGAAUCUUCAGUAUGCAGUGUUUGGUCUGGGCAACAAGCAGUAUGAGCAUUUCAAUAAGGUUAUAUUUGGUUUUAAUAUGAAAGUUUAUAAAUGUUUUGGAUCAAGUUUAUGUGCUGACAUGCUUUAUUUGUGUAAUUUGUGCUUGGAAAUGAAGGUUGCUAAGGUGGUGGACGAGCUCCUCGCUCAACAGGGUAUAAUUUCGAGGCCUCUGAAGCUUGUUGUGGUUUUCUUUCUAGUUUAUUUUAGAUUAAAGAUUUGAUUUUCUUGAUGCUAAUAUUGAUAUGAGUUUUUGGGUAGUCAAGUAAUUGUGGAGAGGUAUUGGAUGCCUAGGUUUCUUUGCGAAGUUUGAGGUCAAUUAUUUGUGUAGAGCAUAAACUAUCAAGACUAUGAAAACUGCACCAUGCAAUUUAGAUACCAAUUAUUUUGGUAUAAUUUACUUUUCUUGAUGACUGGGCUUAUCUGCCUUUGUGUUGAGAUUCUGAUUAAGCUAUAUUUGAGAUAAAUACUCUUGCUAGGCUUUUCAGUUUUCGCACUAUCUGGUUGAAGUGCAUGUGAGAUGUUUUGCGAGUUUGUAAUCAUAUAUAUACUGCCUGAAGUUAAACCAUAUGUUUGCUAAUUGAAACUGCAAAUUAUUUUUUCCCCCUCUUUUUGACUUCUAAAUUUCAUCUCAUGGUUGUAUACGUUCUACUAUGAUUUUCUAAUUACUUACUGAAUUUUGAAUGGUUUAUUUUUAUCAACUUGCAGUUCCGACAGGAUAUUUUGUAUAAUGUUUGAUUGUAUUAAAGUGUUGUCCUUUAGUACUUUGAUGCUUUGGAGUUUAUAAAAUGUGGCAGCUUAUCAAAGUGAUUGAUUGACUAUUUAUUUUUUAUUCUGCUAAAGAAAGAGGAAACUAGAACUCACUUGCACUUAACACAUUGUGCUAGGAGUAAGCAAAGAUUCACUAGCCACUUACGCUUCUUAGUAGUUUUCAUGUCUCUCACCUACCAUAUAAUACUUUUAUGCUGUUCUCUUUUAGAGCCACCUGCGCCUUUUGCUUGUUGAUCACAUUUUGAAGCUAUAUAGCGUAGUUGUAAUUUUCUAUAUUCUUGUUUAUUCAACUUAAUUGUGUUCUUUUCCCUUAUUUUUGCUUUUCUUGUUAUAGGUGGGAAGCGCAUUGUUCCUGUUGGUCUUGGAGAUGAUGAUCAGUGCAUUGAGGAUGACUUCACUGCAUGGUAUAUGAACUAUUUCAAACUGGUUAAAAUUUUGACACAACUAAAUAUAUUUGAAGGUCUUUGUGUGGCCUUUUUUUAGAUAAAUUUUUUGCCUAGCUAUACCAAUAUUUUUAUUUUCAGGAAAGAGCUUCUAUGGCCAGAGUUAGAUCAGUUGCUCCGAGAUGAAGAUGCUGCUUCAGGAGCAUCAACUCCUUAUACUGCUGCUAUCCCUGAAUACCGGGUCGUAUUUAUCAACAGUGAAGAUGCUGCCCACUUGGAAAAGAGUUGGAGUCUUGCAAAUGGCCAUGUUGUUCAUGACAUCCAACAUCCAUGCAGGUAGGAGGAUGUUUAGCUGCUAAAGUUUGAUAGGAUAAAUGCACAUGUACCCUGCAAAUUGUUGUAUUUACUUAUGUAACCUUAAAAAUUUUGAAGUUUCAUAUAGUCACACAAAAUUUGAUUUCUUAGAUGUAUACUCCUAUAUUCACAAAUUGCCGUUUCUUAGAAGACUUUUUAUGCAAAUGAACGAAAUUGUUCUUGCCAUUGACAAUUUGACAUUUUAGUGGUGAUGUACUAACCUAACAUGUUUUACCUCUUAGGGCUAACGUGGCUGUUCGGCGGGAGCUUCAUACCCCAGCUUCUGAUCGGUCCUGCAUUCAUCUGGAGUUUGACAUUGCUGGCACCGGUCUUACGUAAGUAUUUCUGUUAUUUACAUGUCAUGAUUGCAUAUUAUUGUUCAUCAUUUGUUCCAAUUAAGACAUUAGCAUAAUUAUCCCUUUUGUCCUACAUAUACUUUUCUCUUGAUAUUCUUACCAUUGAGAAUUUGUUGCUCAAUGGCAGCAGCAUAUUAUUAUGCUUGGGGAGAAUGGGAAAUUUACUGAUCAAUCAUUAUAUCAACUCACUAUUGCGUCUUACUUUUUUUUUAUCUUUUUGAUUAUGAACCAGUUAAAGUGGUAUAUAUUUUAUUGUUGGGCUUUUGUAAGUAUCCCAUUUGCUCUUGUAGAAGAGUCUUUUUUUUUAAUCUAUGACUUGGCGAUGCUGUUUAGCCAAAAAUCAAUUGUAAUAGGAUGAUUAGGGUGAUUGUCUGCUAUCUAACACAAUGAGACAAUGAGUAAUUAGUUCACGCUGGUCUAGAACCAGUGGCAUAAGAUAUUCGACCUAUACCUGGUGCCUAAAUCUUGUUCAAUUUUUUUUUUUCAGUUAUUGCUUUGAUUAAGUAUGAAUCACUCUGUUCUACUUUUUGCUUAUCAUUUUAGCUUUUCCUUUAAUCAGGUAUGAAACAGGAGACCAUGUAGGUGUAUUCACAGAAAACUGCCUUGAGACAGUAGAGGAGGCAGAAAAGCUAUUAGGUUAUUCACCAGACACAUUUUUCUCCAUUCAUGCCGACAAAGAGGAUGGCACACCACUUGGCGGUGGUUCAUUGGGCCCUCCCUUCCCAUCUCCUUGCACUUUAAGGACUGCUCUUGCCCGAUAUGCUGAUCUUCUUAACUCACCAAAGAAGGUGAGUGUUUCCUUUGGUACCCAUACCCUAUAUUUUUAUAUUGUUACUUGCCAUUGUGCCAUAUUUGAGAAUGUUUAUUAAUUGAUCUUGAACAGAGUGCUCUAAUUGCAUUGGCGGCUUACGCAUCUGAUCCUAGUGAGGCAGAGCGGUUAAGAUUUUUGGCUUCUCCUGCUGGGAAGGUUGGUUUCACUUUCAAAGAAUUUCAUAUGAACUUAAAACUUUAUAGGGUCGUUUUCAUAAACCCCUGUGAAAUUGUCUGUUCACUUAUAUAGCUCUGCAAAAUCAGAAUUUUCGUAUUUUCCCUUCAAAAACUUGAUUUCUUACAGAAAACUUGCAAAUAUUCCCACUACCUUUUGAGCUUUUUCUAAUACAAAACCAAUAUCACCCAUUUAAAUAGGAUGCACCCAGCUUCUGAUUAGGGUAUUUUUGUAAAAAGAAUUGCAAUUUAAAUUCUCUUGCAGCUAUACCCUUUCUAUUUUAAGAAUAUUCACCCUAGUAAAUUUUCUUUUUCUAAUGCAAAACCAACUACCCUACUUGAAUAGGAUAAUUUUCAACUAUUUUUUCUGUUUUUUUUGUAGAAACUGCACUUUCAAGGGUAUGUAAAAUUUUAGAUCAUACAGAUGUUUAUAUGCAAGUUUACAGCGUUUGGUGUAUAUGUGUACAUUUCUCAAUAUUCUUUUUGUGAUGUCCAAAUUUUGUGGUACAGGAUGAAUAUUCUCAGUGGGUAGUUGGUAGUCAGAGGAGCCUUCUGGAAGUUAUGGCCGAGUUUCCUUCAGCAAAGCCUCCUCUGGGAGUUUUCUUUGCAGCUGUUGCUCCACGCCUGCAGCCUAGAUACUACUCAAUAUCUUCUUCACCCAGGUAAUUAUUGCAUUUUAUAAUCAAUUUACUACAUUUGAACUGAUCCUUUGUUGAUAUUUAUAUAUAUUGUGUAUAACUUUUUCCCAGAAUGGCACCAACAAGGAUUCAUGUGACAUGUGCUUUAGUGCAUGGCCCAACACCAACAGGAAGGAUUCACAAAGGAGUCUGCUCAACUUGGAUGAAGGUACCUAAACUUUUGUCCGAGACAUCUUUAUAUUUAGUGUCAAUCACAAAUUUUGACCCUGAAGCUUGAUCUGAAUAUCAAUUUCCUCCUCGAGUUUCAAUUUUUCACAAUUGAAACCCUGAAGUUUGAUUCCAAUUUUGAUCUAAUUCCUAAGAGUUCACGAGCUGAACAUUUUAGUUCUUGAAGUGUGACCAUGAUUUCUAUUUCAUUCUCGAAGUUCCAAUUUGACACUUACCAAAGUGUGAUGAUAGUGCCGGUACAGCAUCUUUUCUGGUUGUAUACUAGUAAACAGGGCUUUUUUUGCUAAACAAAUUUCAGAGUAACUUGUUAUUGUUGGCAUUAUAAGAUGAGAUUGAAAUUGGAGUCAAAUUUCGAGGACUUAUUUUGUAAUUAAAUAUUAUAUUUGUGUCACGUGUUUGGUGAUGAUUACCUUUCUAUUAUAUAGAGAUCCAUCAUUAUAACUUAUGUCUAUCAUCUAUUUCUUUUUACCAGAAUUCUGUUCCAUCGGAAGAGAGUAAUGAAUGCAGUUGGGCGCCUAUUUUCGUGAGACAAUCAAACUUCAAACUGCCCUCUGAUCCUUUAGUGCCGAUUAUUAUGAUCGGCCCAGGAACAGGUCUUGCACCUUUCAGGGGCUUCUUGCAGGUUUGUUGCAAGUUAUUGCAUUUUGGACACAUUUAUUUAUAUUUUUUAAUUAAGUUUUCCCAUUUACUUAUAUCUUGUUCUUGGUGUGUGCAGGAAAGGCUAGCUCUUAAAGAGUCGGGAGUGGAGCUUGGUCAUUCUGUUCUCUUCUUUGGAUGCAGAAACCGCAAGAUGGUAUGGAAAUAUUGUCAGUCCACCUAUUAGAGAAGAGAAGAUAGCUUAGUAGCACUAAGGGCAUGUUUUCCCAACAAUAGCUUCUCUAGAAGUGCUGUUUCUGUCUGAAGAAGCACAAAGUGCUCUUUCCUUUGAAAUCUCCUCUACAGCUUUUUACUGCUGCAGAAGCAGAAGCUUCAAACUGGUACCUCUGCUCUUGGGGCCCAAAAGCUCAUUUGAUCGUGUCUCAUCUCAGUAAAAGCUCAAGCAUAGUUUGUGGCUAAAUACUUGGCUUCUGCAUUCUGGAAACUGUUUUACAAGCCAGGCAAAACAAACACUAACUUGUACAAUUAUGUUCCACUGUUCCUAUAUUAUAACUGGUUGUAUUGAUGCAGGACUUCAUCUACGAGGAGGAACUGAGCAAAUUCGUUGAUGAGUGUGCACUUUCUGAGCUCAUUGUUGCUUUCUCUCGUGAGGGUCCAACCAAGGAAUAUGUGCAGCACAAAAUGGCUGAGAAGGUUGGUGAAUUGUUGCUGCAGUUAUUCUAUUUUGCUUCCGUUAUCGUUACUUAUAACGCUAAUUUUUAUCAUUUCAUCUGUUUGACUAUACUAUCUGCUUUUUCUGGUUGGCAGGCCCCAGAAAUCUGGAAAAUAAUUUCUCAGGGUGGUUAUAUUUAUGUAUGUGGCGAUGCUAAGGGCAUGGCUAGAGAUGUACACAGAAUCCUCCACACCAUAGUUCAAGAGCAGGUACAUGACUUGCUUAAAAUAUCAUUCCGAUUGGAUUUGAUUUUCUGAUUAUUCAUCCUUCUGGGUAUCAAAUCCAAAUGAUUUGUAUCGAACCUUUUACCUUCUCAUUUUCCAUUGUACCCAUAGAUAGCGAGAGUCUCUCUUUUUAUUACUGCAAAAUUCCAGUUCUACUCCAAGUCCUAUAAAUGUUGCGAUUCCACAUUACCCUCCUAAAAUAUUACAAAACCUGCAUUGUGUCCCAUCGACCAAUGGGCAGGCUGAUAUAUCCCAAUUAACAGUGACAAAAGGACAAACUGAUGUAAGUUUAUAGCCGAAGGGGGUAAUAUAUAGUUUUCAAUACUUCAGGUCAAUGAAGUGAUCUUAUAAUUAUAAUAGGACGCAAAUUUUUUCUUUUCUAUAUUUAAAGUUCUCUUCUCCUGAAAUAGUUUUCUUUGUUCCGCCAGUAUUUAUCUAAUCAAGUUCCUUAAUUUGAGUUUUCAGGGAUCCCUGGAUAGCUCGAAGACGGAGAGCAUGGUGAAAAGUUUGCAGAUGGAAGGGAGAUAUCUUAGGGAUGUGUGGUAAAACAGUGUUACCUUCAAUAGCUUCUACCUUUAAGAGUGAUAAAAACGUCGUUGCAUCAACACACUUUGCAGUAUCUUCUGAACGGCUACUAGUGAACCUCAGCAAGAGAAUAUGGGUGCUUUCAGGAGAAGCCUCCGAUAUAUUGGGCUGUUGCUUUUUUUAUUUAAAAGCUUUUUCAGAGUCUGCUUUUGUUGUCUUCAAUAUGUGAUUCUUUUGACUCCUAACUAGGAUUUAUUUCAUGUAUCAUACGGAGCAAUAUUUAAAUUAUCGGAAAUACAAGGACUGUUUUUAAGUAUAUGUUGAGUAAGUUGGUGUUCAACUGGUUUGCUUGUUUCCAUUUGGCGUAGCGAAUGAUCAGCGAAUGAUCGGAGUUAAUAUUUCAGAAUAUGGUUGGAUUGUUCUUUACAUCCUUGAUGUGUAGCAACUAUGUUGUUAGGAUUGCUCGAAAAAGCCUACUCACAUAAUCUUCUAAGUUUUGGUGUACUCAUUCAGUUUUACUCAAACAGUACUUUUGCUGAUGCCUAGGUCGGGCAAGGGCCUUUUUCUGUAGGCUUAUUCAACAAGCAUGCAAUCGAAAUAAAAGCUGAAAUAAAUUUUCAGAUCUCACUUAUGGACUAUGGAAAACUGAUCUAUUCGCAAGCAAUUCUGCUCUUGGAAACUAUACUACAAUUUCAAAGACUGAUGCAAGGGUAAACCACAACGACGCAUAGUUGGUUACGGGCGUAAUUGUGAAGAAGCUCAUUGAAGUUUAAUUUUGUUGCUCUAUUUAGUCAUUAAACUGUAAUUUCUAUUUCUCUACAUGAUCAUCCUGUGGUUCUUUGUUCGCGUUUUCAAACAGAGGGAUGUACCGAUCUCCGAAAAUUGAUCUAGUCAUAGCAUGGUGGCUCUUUCAACUAUAGCAUUAACUCCAGAGACUACAUCUAUCAACUGAAUCCUGCCACUAGAGAAAUUAGCCGAAGUGAUUUGAUUUAAAUAAAGAAUUAAAGAGUGAUUUAAUUGCUAAAAAAGAACAAAAAAUUGAAGAGCAAUGAUCUCCUUAAAAAAAAAAGAAAAAAAGAAAAAAAAAAAGGUCUAACCAAAUGUAUCUUUUUCGUCCAACCGUACCCCGAAUCUUAAAGGAUCCUAAGAGCGACCUUUUUCGUACCCAGUGACAAACUAGUUUUUCCAGAUGCACGCACCAAACAGAGGAGACUAAUAUAACUCGUCCCCGCGUAAAUUACCAGCCUCACAAUAGUCGUUAAGACAAAUUAACUCCAAACCUUCGAGAAACAAAUUACGCCACCAUCACUGUCAGUUUGUUACCCCUUCCUCUCUCUUUCCCUCCUCUCUCUCUCUCUCUCUCUCUCUCUCUCUCUCUCUCUCUCUCUAUUCUAGAAGCAAAGAAAAUUAGAUCCUCCUUUCUCUUUCCUGUGCCAUAAUAUCCCUACACGUAACGCAGCAAAACAUUAGUAUAAGAUCCCACUCUCCUCCAAAAUCCUCGCACCAUAUUCAUAAAUCAUUAACCCACACCGAGUUGGGGGGGAGAGCCCUAAUUACGUCCCCGUUUUUAACACCUCCCCAUGACCAUGCAUUCCCAUUCCAACGGCCAAGAUCUCCCCGAGCCCCCCUUCCAGUUCUGCCUCGCCGGCCCCUACUCUGCCGCCGCCGCGCUGGAGACCCAUCCCUUCCGCACCCCCCCACCGCCGCCUCCCGCGGCGAAGACGAAGAGCGCCUCCUCCGGCUAUCAGAGGCCGCCGCCUCGAGAUUCGCGCUCGUUCGAGUUCCGCCUCGCCGGCCCCUCCUCUGCCGCCGCCUCCGCCGCGGCGGAGACGCUUCCCCUUCGCACCCCUCCGCCGCCUCCUGCGGCGAAGACAAAGAGCGUCUCCUCGGCCUAUCAGAAGCUGCCGCCACAGAGGAUGCCGCCGCGGCUGGGGUGGAGGGCUCUUGUGUUCGGGCUGGUGAGGGUGCCGGCGGAGAUGGAGCUGCACGACAUCAGGAAACGCCAGAGGCGGCGGCAGCGGUGGAACUCUGCAGAGGAAUCGGCGGUGCCGCCGCGGCCAGAGUGCCGCGGAGUAGGGCAUGGGCCGUGGAAGCUGAUUCGAUCGCUGAGUUGCCGAGGGUUCGAGAGCACCGCCGUCAUCGCCUCGGCGGCGCCGUUGAGCUUCAUCUAGCACUUGGGAGGAGCGUGACUACGCUAGGAAUGUACAUACGAAGAAAUAAAAUUGUAGCUGAGCCUAUUUAUAUUACGAAUGUAUUACACGUAUUGGUCACUGCACUCAUUCACAAGUUCCAUUUAGAUUGCUGUACUUCAAUUUAACAGAAAGAUGAUGAUUUUUGAGAUGAUGUUAUCAUCACAGUAAUUUUUUUAAAAUAAGAUGUUAGCUGAUCCAUUGAUAUAAUAAAAGUAAUGUUAGAAUUAAAUUUUUGCCAAAAGAAACUCUUAGGUCUUGUUUGGUUGGGGAACUAUAUCUAAAGGUGGGAAUAAACUAUACCCACCCUUAGCAGGUUAUCUCCCAGGGGUGGAAUUCCUACCCCUUUUAUUAAAAAAAUUUUAAAAUUUUAAUUUAAUUUUAAAUUUAAAAAUUAUAGUUUGUAAUUUUAUAAUUAAAGUUUAUAAUUUUAAAUUUCAAAUUUUAUUUUUUAAAUUUCAAAUUUGAUAUUUAUAUUUUAAAAUUUAAAUUUGAUCUUAAAUUAAAAAUUUUAAAUUCAAAUUUUAAUUUUAAAUUUUAAAUUUUAAAUUUUAAAUUUUAAAUUUUAAAUUUUAAAUUUUAAAAGUUGAGAGUUUAAUUUCAGAUUUUAAAAUUUAAAAGUUAAAAUUUAAAAUUUAAAAAUAAAAAUAAAAAAUUUAAAAAUUUAAAUUCAAAUAUAAUGAGAGAUAAUAUUAUUUUACUAUCUAUAACUACUCACUAUCCUUCUUAUUUCAUCUUAUCUAACCAAACGCUAUUUUUUUUAUUCCUAUGAUUAAUCAAUUUUCAUCCAAACACAAAAUUGAUUUAAUCCCCGCUUAUACCUCAAUUUAUACUAUUCCUGGAAUAGCCACUUUUUGCUUAUCCCCGAACCAAACGAUACAUUAAAGUCUUGACAUUUAUAUCCAUAAAACACUUAGGUAAAUUGCACUAACAGUCUCUUAACUUUCGACAUUUGACACUUCAAACAAUUGAAAGUAUUUCACUUUAGUCCUUUAAGAAAAAAUUCCUUUAAAAAAAAAAAAAUCUGUUCAAUCGUUCGUAGGGCUGGCAAAUGAGCGAGCCGGCUCGCGUUCGACUCGCGUUCGACUCGAUAUUUGGCUCGCUCGAGCUCGACUCGAAAUUAAAUGAGCCGAGCUUGAACAAAAAAAAAGGCUCGAAAUUUAUUUCAAGCCGAGCUUGAGUAUUACUCGGCUCGUUCGAAUUAGGCUCGAAAAGCUCGAAAAGCUCGAAUAUAUAAUAUAGAACUAGGCUGGAAUACUAUUAAUAGCACCAAUGACUUGGUGCUAUUAAAUUUUCUACCCUUGGAUUAAAAAAUGUGUGGUUGGAAUGAUGCGGGCCCUCUAGGGUUGAGUGGGUGGUUAGUUAAAUAGUAUAAUCGAACGGUUAAAAAUGAUAAAAGAAGUAAAUCUAACGGCAGAAAACUUGAUAGCACCAAAUGUCUCGUACUAUCGAUAGUAUCCCAGCCGGACUCAUAUAUAUAUAUAUAUAUANUUCUAUACAAAUUAAACUAUUGAUCGUAUGAUGUUGAGAAUUUCAAGCAACUCGUUUAGGGCUCGAGCUCGCUCGACUCGAAAUUAGGCUCGCUCGAGCUCGGCUCGAAUUAAUUUCAAUCCAAGCUUGAGCUUAAAUUUAGGCUCAAAAUUAAUUUCAAGCCGAAUUUGAGCCGAGGUAAGCUCGCUCGAGCUCGGCUCGUUUCCACCCCUAAUCGUUCGCUACAAAUUAUCAACCAACCCUCCAUCCUUUGUAAGCAAUAUAAGAGGGUUUACUACAAGUGACCUAGGGGAUUCCUACCACCCAAUAUUAGCAAAACCAAAUGUAAUUUUUGAAAGAACAAGGACCAAAAUGAAACAUCCUAAAAAGGCUGGGACCCCUGUGCAAUAUAGCCAAAAAGUAAAAGAAUGAGCAGUGCAAGUCUAAAAACUACAAUAAACAGCAUACCUCACUCUCGUUAAGUUCAUGAAUUUCUUCAUCACACCAUCCAUGCGCAGAGCCAGAAAAAGAGAGCACAUCCAUCUCGUAUCGCAAGCAGAGAACAACAAAAUACCCACUUUUCCGAAGAACUGAGAUAAAACUACAGCAACAAUUUUUUUUCCCGCACUACUCAAUACUAAUGCUCAUGGUACUCUUCAGAGAGAAUUAUGUAGGAGGCAACAUAAGUUACAAUGCACUAGAAGUAAGUCAGUGAGACGAGAAUGGCGUACAACUAAAACAUUUGCAGCUCUUAAAAAAGAAACUUCAUUAUGCAGGAUGAGAAGUUCUUCAUCAUGAACUAUGCGACUGCUAAAUGCAACUGCCUCGUGCGUCAGUAAAAUAAGACAACGAAAUUAUAAGACCAUUAACUGCAAAUAGAGGGCAAUACAAGAUAAGCAACAAGAUGGAGAUGUUCAACAAAGAAAUUCAGCAGUUUCUAAAUUGUAAAGCGUCAUACAUUUCAUCUCUGGUAAUAGUCAAACUCCACUAUAGCAUCCUGUGGUUCAAAGUGCAGAGCUUUAUCACCCUGUGGUGGCUGUUUCAGUUUCUCAAAUUUGGGCAUGCGACGAACACAUGAUGGAUCAAACCUUUGCAAACUAGAAAAAUCAAUAAACUUUAAGCAAUUAAGCCUUCAUUUGCAGUGCUCUAGAUAAGUCGUAUGAUUGUCAUUAUGCUCAAUUCUAAUGGCAUUCCUAAGAGGGAACCCACGACAGCAGCUACAGAGUAAUAGAGUUUUACACCUCUCACAGGAGAUGUAUCACAAUUUGUCCCUUUCUAAAUUCAGCACCAGUUUUAGCGCGCAACUCAAAAUGAAAUGGCCUUAUAGUGCUUUACUGCGUAAGAAAAUCAAAUGCAACUCUCUUACAGAGUAAAAACGAUGUAGAAUCAUCACGCAGCAAUGCCAAAAUAAUUAGACCAUCGACAACAUUUCCCACAGAAGCUGCAUUAGGUAUAUCUUACAAUAUAGAGGGCAAAUCAUGUUAACUACUGAUCUCCACUCUACCUGAAACUAGCAUAUGCAUAACAUACUGAGCUAGUUAUAGUAAGCAAGAUAAUGGUUAUUUUCACACUAAACCGCCCAUAAAAAACAAAGGAAAAAUGAAGAGUAAAAAAAAAUUACAUUCCAUGUAGUCACAAAUCUGUGGACAAACAAGAGCUCGUAGAAUUAUGCAAAUAUUCCUAUCGACUCAGAGCACAGCAGCCACAUAUAAUCUAACCAAGCGAAAUUCGAGGAAAAAAAGAAAAGAAAAGAGAAAUCAUAUGCUCACCCGUACACUACGUACACUAGGAAUUGAAUGCCACAAAACUCAAGAAGUAAGUGCUUGCAAAGAAUCAACACUACCAGGUUAACCGUAAUACAAACAUGAAUCUAAUCAAUUACACAAGUAAACCCCACUAGCAUAGGUAUGGCUAACCUCAUUGAAGUGCGCGAUGCCAUCGGAAACCGGCCGGAGAGACACACCGGACAAAGUGUUCGCCCCCUUCGCAGCAAACUCUACCAUACCAACAACUUCAAGCUCGCCAUCUUGCGAGUCCUGAUCAACCGGCAUCCGUGCCCUGAGCCGGCCCGCAGGGCCUUUUAAAGGAAUGUCGGCAACGUGCCACCUCAGCUCCCUCUUUUCUCGAUUCAGAACAGCCUUUGGUGACACAUUGAGCAACGUAGGGUCGACGGGCAGCUUCAGAAUGAAGGUCACAUUGUUUAGCGGGGCGGGCAAUGCCGGGUUUGAAGCGUACUGGAUCAUUACUGAAAGCAAGGUUCCGCUGUGGCGCUUCACAAGACGAACCCUAAGGGGAAGAGGGGUGGACCUUGGCUGAAGACUAUACUUCAUAAUGGGGAUCGGCUCUUCUUUAGAUUGAGUUCUAACAUGGAACAGUCCAUUCUCUAAGCUGCUCACGCAAGAGCUCUGUAAAACGGCUCUUUUGAUACCUGAGGUGCCCUCGAGACGGAAGGAGAACUCUGUUUCCUUCCCUGCAGCUUUCUUCGGAGGCAGGGUUCUUAAAAAGAUGGUUCCUUUGAGCCCCACGCGCGCCAGGAGAGACUCCUUGAACUCGGCAUUGAUCUCUUCCGAGAUGUACAUCUCCGGGCCUGUCAUUUCUGCAGUCUUCGAUACUAGAAGGUUCUCCAGAGGAGUACCAGCGCCUGCUGCUGCAGCGGCCGCUGCAGCAGCGGCGGCGGGGCCCUGGCUCAUGGCGAGGAGCUCGAGGCCUGUGAGCUGGGGGUCUUUGGGUGCCUUCUUCUUGGUCGUCACGAAUUCUGAUGCAUCCAGGCCGCCGCCGAACGCGGUGUUGAACCCUUCGAACGCCUCGGAGAGCGAGGCCUCCUCACUGCCGAACUCGACGCCGCCGUACUCCCCUUCGAAGCCCUCGACGCCGAUGAAGGUGGGCUUCGUGGCUUCGGCCGGAGGGAGCGUCGUGACCUCGAGCCCCGCGAGCGCCGCGGUGGGGUCAGCGGCGGCGGAUGCCGGAUCCUUGCUCUUCUUGAAGCCCCCGACUAGGGCCUCCUCCGGCUUGUUGAUCAACUCGCUGGCGGCGAAAGGGUCCUUCUCCUCGGGGGGCUCGUCCGGCUGGUCCUUCUGCUGCGGCUGCUCAUCGGCGGGGGGGACGGAGGGGGCAAUGGCGGCGGCAAUCUCCUCCCCUGCGGCCAAGGUUUCCGGGGGGAGCUCGAAGAUCGCAUUGGAGAAGGCUUCGAGGGUGGCGCGGCGCUCGACGGCGAGGGACUCGGGGCCGCCGGCCCAGGAGUCGGCGCCGCGGACGCGGGACUCGGCGUCGGGCGCGGAGCUGACCAUCUUGGCGAUGCUCUCGCCGUGGAUGGAGGAGAGGAUGGCGGCGAGGCGCACGGAGCCGACGCCGCGGAGGACGAUGUCGAGGGCCAUGUAGACCUCCGGGUACUUGCGGUGGAGCUUCUCCGGGGUGACGUCGACGCCGCGGCACGCGGCGACGACGACGCUCACGGCCUGGUUCACGGUGUUGAUGCAGUCGAACACGUUGGUCGCGGCGCGCGCGUGGUCGUCGGCGGUGGUGACGCCGAGGACGUAGAUGGAGUUCACGAGGCGGUAGACGACGCGGUACUUGGACUCCACGCCCACCACGAGCUGGCCGCUGGAGGCCGCGAGGGGGUCGUCGCCGAGGGCGGAGUCGAGGUCGUCGGACGCGGGCGGCGCCGCGGCGGCGGAGGACUUGUGGGACGCCGCGGCGGCGGCGGCGGCGGCGGCGGCGGAGGAGGAGGAGGAGGAGAGGGCGAGGCGGGUUUGGCGGAAGGCGGAGAGGGCGGCGAGGGCGCGGGAGGGGGGGAACCACUCGCGCGUCUGGAGGAGGAUGUCGGUGCCGUUCGUGGGUUGGAGGGAGAGGGCGAGGCACGCCAUUGACGAGCUCCGCGGACGAGAUCUCUAGGGUUUGGAGAUCUAGGGCUUCACCUUGCGAUUCCUCUUCUCCUCUCCCCUGCGAUCGGGGAGUUAGGGUUCGGGGAGCUGAGGAAGAGGAGGAGAUCUAUGCUCCGAAUCCUCGAUUGGAUCGAGGGGUUAGGGUUCGGGGAGCCGAGGAGGGAGGAGGAGGAGGAGAUCUAGGGUCUCGCUCUCUCAGAUCUGCUAGAGAGGAGAGGGUAGAGAGAAAUGGGGCGUCGUCGAUCGCUGGGAAACGAGAAGAGAGAAGCGGGGAAAGUUUUUUUGUGGCGUAACCCCACAAGCAGUGAAUUGUAGACGGUGCCGAGUUUGCCUUUCAUUAGAAGUCGGCGACGGCAAUCAUCUGAGAGUGAAGACGUUGCCGUAUUCAUUGCUGAAUGUGAGCGCAUACCUGUUUAGCUUGCCAACCCCCCAAAAUAAAAGUGUGGACCAUCGAGGUAAAGUUUUUGGUUUUGAUAUCAAACAAAAAAGCAACUAAACAGUAUCAUGUCGCAUUAAAAAAGCUUGCUGAUUAUUGUGAAAAGAAACUAAACAAAAUCUUCCAUAAUGUUACAGUUUUGUAUUUGAACAAGUACGGUAGCUAAUGCUCCAACAUUUCCAGCCCCGAAGUACAUGAUGUUACAAUUGAAGAAAUAAUCCUUCUCUGUAGAUCUUUAUAGCCCAAUGCUAGCUUCAAGUCCCAACUUGCAUUAACCCUGCAAAUUUAAAUAUGUCAAGACCUAUAGAAAAGAUUAACGUGCAUUCAAAAAAUGACAAAUCACAGUGGUUAUUAACGGCUAUUUGGCUAUAGAUUGAAGCUGCUAAAAAGGUGCUUUUGAGUUGACCCCCCAACAACUUUCCACUACAGAGGAAGUAGAGGUUUCAAGUAGGAACUUAUGCUUUGGGUCUCAGAAGCACAUUUCAGCUUUCCGCUGCUACAAAAGCUUCAGACUUCUUAUUCUCAAAACAUCUGGUUAUUGCUUCGCAUAGUAGAGAACUUUGUUAGAGAAGAUAGACCAAACAGGCGUUAAGACAGUACCGAUCGAAAUCAUCCGAGUUGCCUAAUCCUUCCAGCAUGGGACUAAAGAUGGAUAAUACUGUUUCGAGCACCAUCCUAUCAUUCUCGCAUAUCUGAUGAGAAAAAAACAUGCCGAUUAGAGUCCAUUAAAUUAAAUUAAGUCAAGCAUUGAGCACACCAAAUAUCAAAUAUAGAAGUCUAAAUUGCACAAAGCCCACAAUAGAUAUAACUGAUUAUGCUGUCUUCUGAAACAUUGAAAACUACAUAUAUUACCCUUAAACUACAAAUUUUCAUUACUUCGCCGCCUCCAUCAGUAUUCCUUUCAGGUUGUAUUUGUGGCUUUGCUCACAUGUUAAUAAUGGGUGUAAAAUAUGGAAGAUUUCCUGGAGCGGAAGUGAAAAUCACAAUUUUUACACGAAAUUUCCUGCAUUUUAGCCUUUGGAAAUUACAUGGAUCUUCUCAGCUGUGUGACAUUCAGAGGGAAAAACUCACAUCUAUUCUAGAAAUCUCAGCAGGGGAUUCAGCAUUUUGACAAUUCAGAACAGCGCGGAGAUGGGUGAGCAACCGAGAAGGGAGGUCAUAUGUAUACGGCUGGUCAGAUUUGGAAAACCAUGUUCCGCGAACCAUAUGAGUUAUUUUACUUGUUUCUUCCAAUGUGCUGCUAUCAUUCUCCACAUUAGAAGUGUCAAAAUCUGCAAAAAAUAGCACAAAAAAUUGGUAAAAAAAUAUCCAAGGAAAAUAGCCAAUAAUAUAAUUUCCAUCCAUAAUGAUGCAUAAAUUAGAUUGCAAACUUCUAUGCUCUUCAGAAGCAGGAAACCAGGCAACUGAGAAAAAAAGAUAAGAAAAGAGGUCCAAGAACAUAAUGGAAAGGAUGCUUUGGAAGAGUCACAAAAUUGGCAACAAAAUAAGGAAACCACAUAAAGAAGUCAUUAUAGUUACACAUUUGAAGUGAUUGAAUGAUAAUUAGCUGAGAGGAAUAUCAGGAUAGGAUUUAUCCCUCAUCUUUUCAUGUAAUAAUCUAGCAUGCUUCCCAACAUUAAAAAUGGAAGAUUACCUAGAGGUAUAAUAUCAUAAGGGUUGUCCCCUUUUGGAAGGAAACCAUAAAAGGUGACAAGAUGUGAUCCAGACAGGCUUCCGUAGCUAAGAUAGCAUUGCUCCCCUGCCUCGCAUGGUCUUGACAAUGGGAACUUCAAUGAUUUUGUUACUGGGUCUACUCGUCCAUAGUGAAGAAUGUGAGGGCAUAACUGCAAAAGAAGAGUAACAAAAUGGAAACAUUGAAAGCUGAAACAAAAGAAUGAAAAAAGAGAAGGCCAAAUUGCAGAACCCAUUUAUAUUGUGAAUUUCACUUUGCCCCCCAGAAAUUCCUUUGAACUACAAGAUUUCAUCAGCUUGCCUCCUUCAUCAUUGUUCUGCUAGGUGCACUUCGCCCAUAGUUCAAUGGAAAAAUUAUAGGUUUCAAAUUUUAGAGGGGAGCAAUGUGAACACCGCAAUAUUUAUAGAGGGGUUUUUGUCACUUCUAACAAAGAAGUUCUAAGUUGACUUGGCAAACCGAGUGAUUAAGAAGCCCAGCAAUUGGAAUCAGGCAAGUCUUCAAUUUCCCAUCAGUUAGGACUACUUUCAUGCUGUUAGAAUACCAUAGUUCACAAGCCCACAGAUAUUUCUCCCAUGUGUAUAACUCUGGUUUGAAUAAAUCAGGAUACUUCAUGGAUAAAGCAGGGAAUAACGUAUCGUACUGUUGACGCAAGUGCUGAAAGAAGAACAAAAAACAUUCUUCAAAUUGAACCUCUGGAUGGCUCAAACUUGUUUUUUUGAUUUUGCAACUACAUGCCACUUUUUCAUCUUUGGGGUGAAAUAUCUUUUCUAUAGACUGGAAUACUCCUCUCCGGUACUUAAAAGUGCAUAAAAUUAUUACAAUGUCAAAUGAGGAUAUUCUAGUCAACCAAAAGAUGUUUCUUUAAAGCUGGAAGAAAGGAAAAAGUAUGCUGAAAAAACAAAUAGAAAAGAAAAAAAGAAACAAGUGGCCUGUUUAUGCAGAAAGCCUCAUCAAGGUAUAAAGGAAAAUAAUGGCACCUCUUUAGCUUGUGUUAGUUCUUCAAACAAAAGUGUUCCAUCUAAUACAGCAAGUGCAUCAAUUGCAAAACGCAACCCUGAAAACCAGUAGAUAAUAUUUAUUUUAUCUUUCAUUGGCAACUAUUCAUAUAAGGCUUGACAUAUAACAGUGUUUGCAGCAGUCACAAGAAUGGGUUGUAGUUUAGAUUCUGACAACUUUGAUUGCAGCCAUCACAAUACGACAGAAUAUUAACUUUCAACUGGAGUAAAAUAAAAGGAAAAACAUUCUUUUACCUAUUUUUUGGGGAUGCAUUAAUUCAAAGGCCUCACAAUGGUAUAAAGCUCAAUCAUGAUUAAAAAAAAAAGAUGCUUUCUUAUUGAUGUGUUUACAGUGUUUCUGCAAAUUCUGUGUUUAAACGCAAUACCUGUGUUAAAUUCUUCUGGAAGCGUUUCAAAGUAAAUCCUGAAUUUUGAACUGGGAUUAUACCUCUCUCUCAUGCUCCACAAUAGUAACAUUGUCUCAGAGGUAAUAUCAUCCAAGUCUUUUAAUACAUCAAACUACAGGCAUGACACAAUAUAAAAAGAUAAGCAGCAAAGUAGUAUAUCUGAAGUAUUUAUCAUCUAAUAGAUAGUACUGCUUGCUACGGAAGUUUCGAAAUGGCAAGCUAAGGAUCAAAGUGUAGUUAGCGAGAUGACGCAGUUCAUCGUUCAAUGGAGCACACCUUUUUUUUCAGUCAAUUUUUAUAGUUACAUCGUCCCAAUUACUGCUGUUAGCAUUAUCAUCUUAAAAUCAGUUGAAGAUUGUUGGAGUACCUGUUAAGUGUAACUCUUCCAUUGUUGAAUCAUCUUUGUUAUUGAAGAUUCAUUAACUUCUCAACUGGCCAAUGUUUUACUUGAUUUUAAUUUAAUUUUUAACUCUUUUAGAAAUAAAAUCAGAGGCAUAACUUGACCCAAAUAUGAAAUGACAGCAAAAUGCACAGAGCAUACCACAUCAGAUCCAUAGACAAGGUCUUCAGAUAUGAUAAGAGACUCUGGUACUUCCAGGGCAACGUCUCCAAUGCUUAAAUCUUCAGAAGCCACUGUUCCUCUCCCAGCUCCUUCAAAAACUAAACAAAGAAUCGCCUAUCAUACAAAAUUAUGCAAACUUUAAACUAAUUAUAAAAGUAGAAUUGAGAUUGCGGUUUAAGACAUUCUAACAACUCUCGCCCACAUAUUACUACUUAUAUCAGACAAAAGAGCCUUAAGAUAUUUCCCUUCAUAAUUAUCUUAAUAACCCAAUUUAACGUAAGAAACACAUAAGUGCCGCAUGCCUAAUGAAUCUGUCAAGGGGGGGUUCUCACGGUGCACGAAGAUUGUAACCCUGGAGCACUUAAGUGCAAAAAAUGAAACCACAAGGUAGCGUAGUGCAUAUGUGCUAAACCCGGAAGGAAUCCCUAAAACGAAGUACGCCGCAGAAGUGAAAUCACCAUUAAUUUUUGGUGUAGUAAAGUGUUACUAAGGCAAUAGAAUCCUAAAUUUUUUUUUUCAAAACUUGCACCCAACAUCUUAUGAGGUGCGAUUAGCAUAUAGAUUUAGACUUACAUGCUACCUUCAAUUUUGUUUUAACACCAUGACUUUCUCCCCAUUUCAGCAGCGAGUCCUCUGCAUCACCAUUGAAAUUCAUAGCAAUCAUUUCAACUUUGUUCUCCAUCCCCAAAGAUUUUAUCAUGCCAAUUGUUGCAGUCUCUAGCACUUGGAGAAGUUCUAUUGCAUCACCACUAGCAGUAGCAAGCACAGAGUGUAUGGUGUUCAGUACUGAAUUAAGGGAUUCCAGUUCAUUCCUUGAGCUGAACGGACCAAAAUCAUCGUCUUCAGCAAAAUAAAGCUCUAGCUGAGCAAUAAGAUGCACUCAAUUAGUGAUAUGUGAGUAAAUAAAAUCUACGAAAGAACUUACAAAUGCAUACUACCUCAUGCAUAUAUAGUAAUCUAGCAGUUUGGACCAUCUGAUCUAAUGUUUUCAGCAUCCCACUUUUGGAGGAUGAAACUGGAAAAUCAAAAUUGUAACUGAGAUUCCUGACAUUUGAUAAUCUCUGCAGUUAGAGCAAAAUGGUGAGUACCAGAAGAGAUAUUUAAUAUUAAGAAAAUGAGCAACUUAAGCAAUUUGCUUACAAUAGAAGCAAUAAAUGGAUACGCCAACUAUUUGAGAAUCCAGAUAAACUAGGCAUCCUAUUUUGUAUUAUAAACACAAAAAAAAACAACUAAAUGGGUCCAAAUUUUCAUAUUCUCUCAAAAAGAAAAUGUUAAUGAAGGUUUCCAAUUUUGAUCCAUGUAGCGCCUUUUUCAUGAUUAUCUGAAGAUACAUGAGAUGUAAGCUGCCUUCAAACUGGAUCUCACAGCAAUUCAUCAUUUUGACCAAUUAAAACUUAUUCAUUUGUUCCUUCCUCCUACUUGCGAGCUUGAUGAACAACCAAAACUUCGAAAACGGAUAGAAGCAAAUCCUUCAUAUCCCAUAAUUAAACUACUCACAUGAUUCCAACUUGCAAUCAUCACUACAUAUAAAAACAUGCAGUAUCUUACCUUAACAGUAGAACAUUUAAAACUUUAUAAAUUUUUUAUUUUACUAGCUAAGUUUCAGGUGCUUCUAAAAUAGGCAGCUGAACUUUCAAAUUUUUUAUUUUACUACAUAAUUCUAACUUUCUUGUGAAAUAUAACACGAAUUGAUGGAAUAAUAUGUUACUUGACGAAAUACUCAAAAUUUAAAUUUUUUAAAUUCAGGUGCUUAUUUCAAAAGAUUGUAAUAUUAGGUAUCUAUUUCAAAACGAACUAUAUGCUCUAUAGUUCAUUUAAGUUUCUAUACUUCCCCACCUACAAAAUUUAACACAAAAAAAAUGAAAAUUUUAAUUAGGGGAGUAGGUUACUGCGUUAUUUUUGCGGAAACAAAGUAAAACACCUUACCAUCUUCUCUGGGAACAAAGGAUCCUCUUCAGAGAGAAUUGGAAGUGAUAAAGUAACCACUCCACUCCUCUCCAUUUCCUUCUUCGUCGCCAUUCCUAACUCCUAUCAAUGAACGAAGUAACGAAGGAGAGCUACAUCAAAUCGAGCACGAUCGAAGUAAAGGAAACCCUAGAGUAAGCGAGGAUUUAGGGUUUAGGGUUUUACCUGGGCAGAGGGGAAGAGAGAAUAGGGAGUCGCCAUUGCAGUGAGGGAAAAAGCUCGGCAAUAAUGGGCUCGGCCGAUGCGGUUUAGGCCCGGCCCAAUUAAGGCCUGGUUCGCUAAAAAUAUGAGACUAAGUAGCCCAGCCCAAGCCCUAAAAUUAAAAUUAUAAUUUGUGGAAAUGUAUUCACUAGGUGUCAUAUUUAGGAAAUGGGUUUAAAAACUUAUAAUUUUUUUUUAAUGUAAUGCAUUUUAAAUGUUACAUUGGAGCCGAUGAUUUAGUCUUUUCUUUAUUUUAAAAUUUUCAAGUUCAAAUCAAUAAUUUCUUAAAUAAUAUUUACCUUGUGUAUACUAUGUUUAGUUCCUUAACUUUUUCACCCAAACUGUUUUAGUAAUAUCAUCAAGUUCUAGUUUUAAUGAAAUGUCCACAAACUUUUAUUUCGAAAAAAAAAAAAAAAAAAACUCCAUCAAAGUGCGAUUUUGAAAGGCCCAUAUGGAUGAUUAAAUUUGUUCAAACUUAUAUAAGUAAAUAGAUAAUUAUUUUUUAGUACAUUUGUAAAUUUUCCAACUAAAUAAAGUCAACAUAGCUCGUUCGAUCCGAAUAAUAUCAACUUGUUCUUUUUAAUGUCUCUAGAUACAUUAGCUAGAUGUAUCAAAUUAAGAAAUGUUAAUUUUGAUCAAUCAAAUGAUACCAAAUAAGUUGACCGAGCUUCUAAAAACAUGUUCUAUAUUCGUUAGAUCCAUAAAAAAUAUAUUUUAUACACUCAAUGUUUGUCACAAGCCGAUGGAGUAGUGAGAACUAUAUUUAUUUUCAUUAGAUCCAAAUAAAUGUAUAUUAUAUGCGUUAUUACAGCCAAACUUUAAUGAUUAAGAAAUUUUUUUUAACACUUUUUUCCCAGUAUAUUUUUUUAACAAAGCUAGUGAUCUUUUCAUAUAUAAUACUUGUUACAUCGCGAUCUUUGCAAAUGUUAAAGUAUGUAUCAUGCAUUUGAAUAAAAUACUAUAGCUAACCUAUCAUGUCGAGGUCUCGUACACAGAUUACCUAUUGUAUAGAUAACAUGUUGGACUUAGUUUAUGCAAUAAAUAAUUUUAUACGUACGGUACCAUGUCUAUUUCUUAAUGGAUCAUCUCUUGAAACAUGGAGCAAAUUUUUAAGUAUUUCAAGUUAAAAAUGGGCAUAAUUGGCCUCUAACUUAGUUUUUCUUUCCAACUUUUAUUAGUUCAUAGCUUUGUAGUUUUUUUUUUUUUUUUUUUUUGGGAAAAGAUAGCAUGCUAUUCGCUUUCAUUUAUUUCAUUUAGAAAUAAACAUAGCUGCAAAUGUGAAUCAACUAGGAUUCAAACUUGGGUCUCGAGUAUCAACCACCGAGGGCCUGUUUGUUUCGACGGAAGUUGGGUGGAAGUGGGACGGGGAAAGUGAUUUUCGGUGAAAACUAACCACUUCCGCUGUUUGGUUCACCGUAAGUUUAUUACGCCCGAAAGUUCAGUUCACCCAAACUAAGGAACUUGACUUCGCCCUCCCAUGGGGCGAAGUCAAUUUCGGUGAAGUGAAAAAAAGGCAAGAAUGGAUUAAUGUGUUAGGGUUACCUCUUCAUUUCAUCCAAAUAUAUUCAAUUGUGAAAAUAAUUAAAUUUUUUAUUUUGAUUGUAUGUCUAAAAUAUGAUCAAAUUUGAUUAGGUAAGCUUUAAUAUAUUUUUUGUUUAAUUUGUAUAUUUAGAAAAUGAUGAAAAAUAAAUUUGUUAAAUGUUAAUAAUUUUUUAACUUUAGAAUUUUAUUUGUUGCAUUAUUAUAAUUUAUAUGCAAACAAAUAAUAUAAUUUUUUAAAAUUUUAUUUUAUAAUUAUACAUAUAUAUAAUUAUAUACAUAUAUAAUUAUAUUAAUUUUUAUUUAUUAUAAUUUAUUAUUCACUAUAAGUUAUAAAAUAGACAAUAAUAUCACUUUGGAGGUAAGUAUACCGGGGGUGGAGAGCUCCACUUUUUACGUCAUCUACUUCCUACCAAACAAACAACAGAACUCGCAGAACUGCACUUCCACAGUUAAAAACAAACAGCAGAAGUGAACUAAUUUUCACCCCAACUCCACUUCAACCCAAAGUCCACUUCCACCCCAAGUCUACUUACGUUGAAACAAACAUGCCCCAGCUCUUUGCCACUUGCUUCAGGGACGGUCGGUGUAGAAUUAACUUCAGUAGCUUAGGAAUACAGUGAACCAAUUAAUAGUUUUUUUUUAAAAAAAAAGAGAAAUAAGACAAUUGUGCCAAUAUAGUUAUUGUACUUGCCUAUUGACUUUGAGAAUGACAUUAUUGUCACAACAUAUAUUAUGUAUCGAUGAUCCAAAGCAAGUGAACCAACAAAUCAGUACAGCAUAAUUAAUUUGUACAACUCAUCCACAAAUAAAAGAAAAAAAAAAAAAAUUUGAGCCUUGUGUCACGGACUAAACGAAUUUGCUCGCAAAAGUCUGUGGCGCCCACUUCCUGCUCGAACAAAACCUCCGUCAGAAUGCUCCUUCGGAGAAUGGCCCACUGUCGAGGAAAAGUCAGCGAAAAAUAUUUUGUCCGUGACACUUGGCUUCGUUGGAAAUAUAAGUGUAUCUAUCUGUUGUGAAAAUUCCAGAGUAACAGGACCCUGACCCUGCUUGUUUCAACCAAAGUGAAAAAUAAUAAAAUAAUUUUUUAUCAUAAAUAUUGAUAUUUUUUAUUUGGUUCACUGUAAUUUUAUAUUUAUUAGUCUAAAUAGUCUAAUUGAGUUCAGGCUCGGGCUCACCCCAAGCUUAAGUAAAUUACUAUGAUGAAUAAAAUGAGAAAAAAAAAAACAAAAUAUAAAUCAAUUUCUCAUAUCUUUAACUUUUACAUCAUUCAAACAAACAACAGAAUUAGAAGAACUUUAGUUUCACAAAGCUACAUAAACCAAAAAAAAAGAGAGUAAUUUUUAUCUAAACUCUAGUUCACUCGAUAGUCUACUUCAUCCUAAUUAAACUUCGUCUUUGAUUAAACAAAUAGGUCAUACUUAGGUAAAAUUAAGGAAUUAGUCAUAAUCAUUAAAAUACCGAAAUUAUUUUGUCAUCUUAUGGUUCUUUUUUUUUUAAGAAAAAAAUAGCAUGCUAUCUGAUUCAUUUAGUUUCCUUUUACAAAUAAAUUUAGCUAGAAAUAUAAAGCAAUUAUACUUCGGUACCAACUAUUAAAUUCUUUACCAUUUCACUAUUCUAUAGUUUAAAAAAUUACACUAAAUUAUUCCUAUGGUUUAGCUUAUAUUUACUUUCUCAGCCUAUAAUUCAAAAAGGUAUACUGAAUUAUUCUGUGGUUAUUAAAAAAUUUUAAUUUGUAACCUUACUUGUUAGUAGAUUUUUUUGAUAGAAAUAAAAAUAAAAUUAUAGAAUAGUUAAAUGCACCUGUUUAAACUACAGUAUGAUAAAGUAAAAUUAAACUAAACCACAUAGAAACAGAUUAAAGUUUAUCCUAUCAUUAAAUAUGGAGCUAAAUCUAUGACAUAUGAACCCUCCAUAGCCUUACCUCCAUCAUAAAAGAGAUAGUUUCAUAAUCAAGUAUCGUAAAAUUGAGAUAUAUUAAGUAAACCUAAAGAGGAGUAGGUCCCUUGUACUUUCGAAAAUAUGGAGGGUUACGUGUUUGUAAGUUAUUUUUGAUAAUAUAGGAUAUUCGAUUCGAAAAUCAACUCUGUUAAGCAUAAUAUAGUAUACUACUGGAAUUAUUUAGAAAUCAAAUUUCAUAAUUUUUUGACAUUAUUUACCAAGUGGUCGAAAGAUCUGAAAAAUGACUAUUUUAACGGUCGAUGUGGCGCGUUUUUAAGUUCAACGGUGUAGAAUAAUCCAAAUUAUAUGAAACAUUAAUAAAAAAUUCUACUUAAUAUCAAUAGCAAGAUCAAUACUUUUGAUUUAAAAUUUGAGUCUUUUAUCACUGUUUUUUAUGAUAUUUUUAUUUUCAACCGUUCAUUUUGAGACUACUUGUUCACUAGGCAGAUGAAGUCAAAAAAUUAUAAAGUUUGAUUUCUAAAUAGUUCCAAUAAAAUAGAUCAUGUUUAAUAAAAUUAAUUACCGAACCAGAUGUUCCAUCAUCGAAAAUAAUUUAUAAAUACGGAGACCUCCGUACUUUCAAAAUCCUAGAAGCGAGGCUCACCUAAAAAGUAAGGUCUACGAUUGUUACAAUUUACUCCGAAAAUUGGAUCUGGCCUUAUUAUGUUAAUUUAGUAUUUAGACACCCUGUUUAGAUUCCAUGCGAAUCAAUCAUUCUUUUAUUAUAGGAGUGAUUUUCCUAUUUUAUAUUUAAUAAUCUACACUCUAUCUAGUAGAGAUGUCAACGGGUCGGAUUCGGGGCUGAUUUUUAAAAGUCCGAACCCGAACCCGACCAAAAAUCCGAAACCCGAACCCGAACCCGAACUCGAAAAUUUGAACCCGAAACAAUUAUUUUUUUUUUUAAUAUUUCAAAAUAUAUUAUAUUAAAUUUAAAUUUUUAAAAUACAAAUUCAAAUAUAACAUCAAAUUUUUAUAUAUAUAUUAUAUAUAAUACAAAACAAGUUCGGGUUCGGGUCGGAUUCGGGUUCUAGUCGGAUACAAUCAAAAUCCAUAUCCGAAUCCAUAUCCGUCGGAUUUUUAUUUUUUAUAUCCAUAUCCAAAUCCAUAUCCAUAUCUAUCGGAUAUAUCCGUUUCAUUCGGGUUCGGAUUCGGAUAAAAUUUUGGGUAUCCAUACCCAUUGACAUCCCUACUAUCCAGUCCUACUAAUCCAAGCUAGUCAAAUUAAUCUUGACCCAUUUGUUCGAAGAUAGGCUACACGGCCCUCUUUUUUUCAAUUUUUAACAAAUAUAUAUAAGAAUAUAAAAUGAGACUAGCUAACUUAGGGGGUGUUUGGUUCUGCGUAAAAUAACGCGAAAAAUUAUUUUUCAGUGAAAAAUAUUUUUCUGUUCGUUUGGUUCCACGUAAACUAAUUUUUUCAUAAAAGUAUUUUUACAAAUUUGGGAAAAAGAGUCUGUUUGAUUCAACGUAAAACUGUAAAAAAUAAUAUUUCGUAAAAAAAAUGAUAAAAAAAGUUUUAUAUUUUGUAGUGCUUGGUUUAUAGGAAAAAAAAAAUAGUUCUUUAUCAACAUUUGUUUGACUAAAUGAAAAAAGUUCACAUUUGUUUGGAUCGAUGAAAAAAAAAGAAUGAAAUUUUUUUUACAUAGUUUGAAUUUUGUUUUCUGCCGAAUUGCAGAGAAAGAAAACUUAUUUUUUUUUCCAAAUUCGUAAAAUAAUUUUAUAGAAAAAUAUUCUUACGUCGAACCAAACAAACGAAAAUUAUUUUUCAUACCGAAAAUAAUUUUUCGGUUCAUUUUACGUUGGAACCAAACACCUCCUUAGCCUAUUUGGUGUCCUCAUAUGAACAUAUGCUAGCCAACUUUUUUUUUUUUUUUUUUGAGAAAGAAAGGUGUACCGCAUACUAUCCAUUUCGUUUAUUUUAUUUAGAAAUAAUUUUUUUUUUUUUUAGAGAUAGGUAGCACGCUACCCACUUUGUUAAUUUUAUUUAAAAAUAAACUCAGCUAAAAAUGUGAAUCAGUGAGGAUUCGAACUUGGGUCUCGGAUACCAACCACCAAAUUCUUUACCACUUGCUCUAGAAACGGUCGGUCAUUUAGAAAUAAACUUAGCUGGAAAUGUGAAUCAACUAGAAUUCGAACUUGGACCUCGGGUAACAACCACCAAACUCUUUUGCCACUUGCGCUAAGGACGGUCAGUUGCUAGCCAACUUUAUUGGACCAGCACUUCUUCAACUUAGUCCACCACCCUCUUCAAAGUUUUCAAGCUUGUGGACUCCAAUGGCAAUGAAUGAAAUUUCAUUAUUUAGUUUGUUUUUGCACAUUGGUCAAGUUGAUGAUCCUUUCUUGUGGGGUCUCACAUUGAUGACUUGAAUGAACAUGUAAUUAUUUUCAAGAGCUAAUUAGUCCACUAGGUCAAUUGCGAAUCGCGCUAAGAAAACUUGCAAUUCAUCUCAUCUCUUUUUUUUUUUAUUUUUAUUUCAAUUGGUUUGAAUUUAGGUUCACCUAUGAAUUAACUGCAUUGAACAUGUCACAAAUUAAUGGUGUAGGUGUUAGAUGUGACUCGAAAUCUACUAUCGAUUCAGGUUCGGAUUUACGACUCACCGACAGUUUCGCGGUGCGACCAAUUUGGAAAAAAAAAUUAUUGAGGAAAAAUGAAUGUCUGUGGUGGGUAGCGGAGGGCUCGGGCCGACAGGCCCGAGCCCGUAGAGGCGUGUGAUCGUUUUUGCCCUAGAAGCGUGUGAUCGUGGUCGGUUGUAAUCUGAAGAAUAUUGUAUUCCCUUUUUCGUUUCAUAGUGAAGAUCUCUCCUUCCUCGCCCGUGGUUUUUUUUCCUGCAAAGAGUUUUCCACGUAAAUCUGUGUCUCUUUAUUUUCUGCUUGUGGUUUGAUUGUUUUUUGUGUUCGUCAUUUUGUUUCCGUUUGUGUGUUUGUCGUACCAGUAGGUUUUGAUUUGAAUGCGACGUAUUUAUUAUUGUAAACUAGCAGAGCACUUGCAAUGUAUGUGCACGGUAAAUUGAUAAUGUAUCUUUGAGAUGUAGUAAAAAGGUACAAUAAUAACGACGAAGAACUAUAUUAUAUAUUCACCAUAUUUUGCUUUAUGUAUAUGCUGAUAAAAUUAAUUGAGAAAAUAAUUGAUGAAAUUUUAAUCCAUAAAAUAAAUAUAGUAGGAAAAUAAGGGCUCAUCCAUGACAAGAAGAUUUAAACAAAUAUGGAGAUUUGAGAAUCUAAAUUGCAUCUAUUGUGUUAUUUGAGAAUGGCCUGUGGUGGGGUUCCAAACAAAGAAAAUAAAAUUCGUAAAUAAUUCAUGCAUGCAAUGGAGACGGGAGUUUAUUGAGAACAUUAUUCGAACAUAAUUUUACUAAAAAAUUGUGCAUUUCACCAAUGUUAAUAAGAGAAAAAGCUACAAAUGAAAUCAAUGUUAAAUGAACACUUAGUUAUAGUUAAGUGUAUCUUAAUGAGCAAGUGCUCUAAAUCAUUAUCCAUGAAUGAUCGAUGAAGCUAAUGCAUGUUUAGCGUUUGCACGAUUAGUCCAAUCGAUCAUUAGUUAAGUGAAUUCUUUGAUUCGAGUUGUUUACAUUUCAAUUAAUUUCAUAUCCACAAAUUGUACAUAUCAUUUCUUUUAAUUAAUUAGUUCCCUCCUUCUCUUAAUUAGUAAUUUGUUUUAAUAUAAAAGAUUUAAAGCGCGGUUUAAUAACACGCAAUGAAAUGAAAGAAAAAUGCUUAAUUUGAAUAAUCAGAUAACUGAGGAAUUGUAACCACAUUAUGCAAAUUUCAAAUUAAAAUUUCGCAAUAGUUUAUUUAAAAAUAGAAUUUCUAAUUUGCUUCUACAAUAGUGAAAAGUUAUUAAAGAGAGUUUAAUUUAAUAAUUAUUAGUGCUCGUUCGAAUAACUCUAUCAAAACAAUAAAAAAAUAUGGAUUAUAUUAGCUUAGUUUUAGUUUUCUUUUCUUCUUUUUUUUCAAAUUCUCCCUCCAUUAUAUUUUAUUCAUCACUUUGCUACAAAAUGUGGGCAAAAAGUUGUAUCUAAAUUGUUUAUUAAUUAAGGUUAAGUUUGAGGAGAGAUAUAUGUAGCCAAAUUUUAAUGUCAAUGAUAACACCUUAAUAACGUACACCUGAACCUAAAUUUAGUUGAAAUUUUUGAAAACUUUGCUUUGGGUGUGGGAACUUCAUUUAAGUAGUCACACAUUUUACUCAUUGUUACUCAUUGUUAAAAUAAACAAUAGAAAGGCAGAGGUCAUUAAUUAAUUAAACUUCUAACCCCCUUUUUUUUUAAGAAAAAAAAGAUUGAUCGUGUAAUGAGAUGAUGCGCAUGCCACACUGAACAUAUAACACGAAUACGUACAAACACAUCGUCACCGCAAUGCAAUGGGUUAUUAGCUAUAAAACCAAUCACAAUGCGCGUCUCAAACUACAACAGGCCAUCUCUAGAUGAAAUUAAUCGCGAUCUUUAAAAGUUUACUAAACUUUUAUAUAAUUCUCGUGAUAUGAGUUGCUGUAUGUAUAUAUAUAUAUAUAGAGCUAAGCUGGUAUAUUAUCGGUAGCACGGAGGCCUCCGUGCUACCAAGUUGUUUUCAAUGAUGCGGCUUCUAAAUCGACGAUCGGCUCCGUUAGACUUGAUCUACAUUAUUGAAAGUAUUUGGAAACUAAAUUUCAUGAUUUUUCGGCGUCAUUUACCAAUCAAACGAGUAGUUUAAAAAUGAACGGCUGAAAAUAAAAAUCUCAUAAAAAAUAAUGAUAAAGAAUUCAAAUUUCAAAUCGGAAGUAUUGGUCUUGCUAUUGAUGUUAAGUAGAAAUUUCUAUUAAAUUUUCAUCUAAUUUGGAUACUUCUAUACCGUUGAACUUAAAAACGCAUCAUAUCUACCAUUAAAAUUGUUAAUUUUGGAACCUUUUGAUCACUAGCCGAAUGAUGUCGAAAAAUUAUUAGUUUCCAAAUACUUUUAAUAGUGUAGAUCAAGUCUAAUAGAGCCGAUCGUCGAUUUGAAAGCCGCAUAAUUGAAAACAUUUCUAUAGGUUUAGUUAACUUAAAAACAAUCUUUUAAGAAAUUUGAUAAAUUUUGUUCUAGAUAUGAUAACUAGAACUAAUGUUCUGAGGAUAGUAGUAAAAAAUUUUUUAUAAAUAAAAGUCGGCAAGUAAAAGCACAAGUGAGCUGCCUAUUCUCUUGUGAUAGCUUUUACAUACUUUAAACUAAAGAUUUGUGAAGUUCAUCAUAUCUAGUACAAGUUGCCACGGCUAAUAGCUAAACCUCCGAGGUAGUAACUUUUGUUUAUCCACCGUUGCCUCGGGCAAACGACAGCUAUCAUAAGAUCGAGUUGAGAUAUAUAUAUAUAUCUAAGGGCGACCCAUGAUAGCUAUCGUGGUUUUUAAACCAUUAUAGCUCAAAAGGUGGCAAUCUAAAUUGGAAAACUAAUAAAAAUGGGCAAAUUAAUAUGAUAAGUUGGUUGGUGAGUGAGUUGGGAUCCUCCGGGUGUAGUAGGAUUGGUAGUUAAAGAGUUAGGUUACCGAUUUUUUAGUUAUCGUGGUUAUCGAACCACGAUAACUAUCAUAAGGUGGGAUCAAGAUAUAUAUAUAUAUAUAUAUAUAUAUCUCGAUCCGACCAUAUGAUAGCCAUCGUGCUUCCGGAGGCACGAUGGUUCAACNNNNNNNNNNNNNNNNNNNNNNGGUGUAAAGAUAUCCAAAUCAAUUGAAUUUUUGUUAGAAAAUUCUUUAAACUAUUUAAAACAAGAUCUAUACUAUUGAUCUUGAUUACAAGACUCCUAUCAUCAUUUUUUAAAAAAUAUUUAUUUUCAGCCGUUCAUUUUCGUGUUCACUCGACGGAUAAGAGAACACUAUCGAAAAUGUAUGAAAUUUGAUUUCUAAACACUUCAAGUAGUAUAGAUCAUGUUCAACGGUGCCGAUUAUCGAUUUGGAGGCUCCAUCAUUGAAAACAAAUAGGUGGCAACGGAGCCCGUUUGCUGUCGAUAGUAUUCUAGCUCAACUCUAUAUAUAUAUAUAGAUUCCCGCUGGGUACUAUCGAUAGCACCAAAAAUUUGGUAAUAUCGAGUUUUCCACCGUUAGAUUUAACCUUUUGAUUAUUUUUACCCGUUUAAUUAUACUAUUCAACCAACCACUCACUCAACCCUAGGAGGCCCACAUCAUCCUAACCAUCAAUUUCUCAAUCCAAUGGCUAAAAAAUCAAUAGCACCAAUAGCUUGGUGCUAUUGAUAGUAUUCCACCCUAGUUCUAUAUAUAUAUAUAUAUAUAUAUAUAGAGUUAGGCUGGUAUACUAUCGGUAGCAUGGAGGCCUCCGUGCUAUCAAGUGUUCAAUGAUAUGGCUUCCAAAUCAACGAUCGGCUUCGUUAGAUUUGAUUUGCAUUAUUAAAAAUAUUUAGAAACUAAAUUUCAUAAUUUUCGAUAUCAUUUGGCUAGUGAUCAAAAGGUCUCAAAAUUGACAAUUUUAAUGAUAGAUGUGGUGCGUUUGUGAAUUUAACAGUAAAAAAUAAUCCAAAUAUGAUAAAAUUUUUAUAGAAAAUUCUUUUUACUAUUUAGAGUAAGUUCAGUACCUCUGAUCUUAAAUUCAAGUCCUUUAUCACCAUUUUUUAUGAAAUUUUUAUUUUUAUCCGUUCAUUUUUAGACUACUCGUUUGAUAGGUAAAUGAUAUUGAAAAAUUAUGAAAUUUAGUUUCCAAAUACUUUCAAUAGUGUAGAUCAAGUUUGACGGAGCUGAUCAUCGAUUUGAAAGUCACAUCAUUGAAAACAAUUUGGUAGCACAGAAACUUCCGUGCUACUGAUAGUAUACCAGCCUAUAUAUAUAUAUAUAUAAAAACCUCUCAGAAUGUCCUUCGGAGAUGGACCACUGUCGAGGAAAUUAAGUCAGGCGAAAAUAUUUUGUCGCGUGACACUUGCGGCUUCGUUGAAAAUAUAAGUGUAUUCUAUCUGUUGGAAAUUCGCAAGUAACAUUGGACCUGACCCUGCUUGUUUCAACCAAAGUGAAUAAAUAAUAAAAUAAUUUUUUAAUCAUAAAUAUUGAUAUUUUUUAUUUGUUCACUGUUAAUUUUAUAUUUAUUAGUUAAAAGUCUAUGAGUUCAGCUCGGCUCACCCCAACUUAAAGUAAAUUACUAAUGAUGAAUAAAAUGAGAAAAAAAAACACAAAUAUAAUCCUAAUUUUCAUAUCUUUAACUUUUAACAUAUCAAACAAACACAGAAUUAGAAAAGAACUUUAGUUUCACAAAGCUACCAUAAACCAAAAAAAAAAGAGAGUAAUUUUAUCUAAACUCUAGUUCACUCGAUAAGUCUACUUCAUCCUAAAUUGAAACUUCGUCUUUGAUUAAACAAUAGGUCAUACUAGGUAAAAUUAAGGAGAUUAUCAUAAUCAUUUAAAAUAACCGAAAAUUAUUUUGUCAUCUUAUGUUCUUUUUUUUAAGAAAGAAAAUAGCAUGCUUAUCGAGUUACAUUUAGUAAUCCUUUUACAAAUAAAAUUUAGCUAGGACAUAUAAGCCGGCAAUUAUAACAUUCGGUUAUCCAACUAAUUAAUCUCUUACCAUUUACUGUUCGUAUAGUUAAAAAAUUCACUAAAUUAUUCUAUGGUUUAGACUUAUAUUGUACUUUGUCUCAGCCUAUAAUCAAAAGGUAUACUGAAUUAUUCUGUGUGUUAUAUAAAAAUUUUAAUUUGUAACCUUAUUGUUAGUAAGAUUUUUUUGAUAGAAUAAAAAAUAAAUUAUAGAAUAGUUAAAUGCCAACCUGUUUAAAAUCUACAGUAGUGAUAAAGUAAAAUUAAACUCAUACCACAUAGAAACAGAUUAAAGUUUAUCCUAUCAUUAAAUAUGGAGGCUAAAUCUAUGAUCAUAUGAACCCUCCAUAGCUCUACCUGUCCAUAUAAAGAGAUGUUUGUCAAUAAUCAAGCUAUCGAAAUUGAGAUAGUAUUAAGUAAACUAAAAGAGGAGUAGGUCCGAUUGUACUUUCGAAAAUAUGGAGGGUUAACGGUGUUUGAAGUUAUUUUUGAUAAUAUAGGAUAUCGAUUCCGAAAAUCAACUCUGUUAAGCAUAAUAUGUAUACUAACUGGAAUUAUUUAGGAAUCAAAUUUCAUAUUUUUUGACAUUAAUUUACCAAAGUAGGUCGAAGAUCUGAAAAAAAUGACUAUUUACGGUCGAUGGGGCGCAGUUUUUUAAGUUCAACGGUGUAGAAUAAUCCAAAUUUAUAGAAACAUUAAAUAAAAAAAUUCUAUUAAUAUCAAAAUACAAGAUCAAUACUUUUGAUUUAAAAUUUGAGUCUUUUACUCAAACUGUUUUUUAUGGAUAUUGUUAUUUUGUCAACCGUUCAUUUUGAGUACUUGUUCACUAUGCUAGAUGAAGUUUCCAAAAAAUUAUAAGUUUGAUUUCUAAAAUAGUCCAAUAAAAUAGAUCUAUGUUUAUAAAUUAAUUACCGAACCAGAUGUUCCAAUAUCGAAAAUAAUUUAUAAAAUACGGUAGACCUCCGUACUAUUCAAAUCCUAGAAGAGCGAGGCUCAACCUAAAUAGUAAGUCUACGAUUUUACAAUUUACUGCCGAAAAUUGGAUCUGGCCUAUUAUGUUAUUAUAUAUUUAACACCCUCGUUAAUUCCAUGCGAAUCAAUCAUUCUUUAUUAUAGGAGUGAUUUUCCAUUUUUAAUAUUUAAUAAUCUACACGGCUAUCUAGUAGAGAUGUCACGGUCGGAUUUCGGCGGCUGCAUUUUUAAAAGAUCCGGAACUCCGACCCGACCCAAAAAUCGAAAAACCGCAGAACCCGAACCCGAACUAGAAAAUUUUGAAACCGAACAAUAUAUUUUUUUUUAAUAUUUCAAAAAUAUUUAUACUUAAAUUUAAAUUUUUAAGAAUACAAAAUUCAAUAUAACAUUCAAAAUUUUUAUAUUAUUAUAAUAUAAUACAAAACAAGUUCGGGUCGGGUCGGAUUCUGGGUUCUAGUCGCGAUCAAUUGUAACAAAUCCAUAUCCGAAUCCAUAAUCCGUUGGAUUUUUAUGUUUUUAUAUCCAUAUCCAAAUCCAUGAUCCAUAUCUAUUCGGAUAUAUCUCUUCGAGUUCGGAUUCGGAUUUCUGAUGAAAAAAUUUUGGUAUGGCCGUAUACCAUUGACAUCCCUAACUAUUCCAGUCCACAAUCCCAAGCUAGUCAAAUUAUCUUGACCCAUAUGUUUCGAAGCAUAGGCUACACGGCCCCUCUUUUUUCAAUUUUUAACAAUAUAAUAUAAAAUAUAAAAAUGAAACUAAGCUAACUUAGGGUGUUAUGGUCUGGCGUAAAUGAACGGCGAAAAAUUUUUUCAGUGAAAAAUAUUUUUCUGUUGUUUGCUUCCACGUAAAACUAUUUUUUCAUAAAAGUAUGUUUUACUACAUUUGGGAAAAAGAGUCGCUGUUUGAAUUCAACGUAAAUACUGUAAAAAAUAAUUAUUCGUAAAAACUAAUGAUAAAAAAAUUUAAUGAACUUUUGUAGGUGCUUGUUUAUAGGAAAAAAAAAUAGGUUCCUUUAUCCAAAUCAUUUGUUGACUAAAUGAAAAAAAUUCACAUUUUUUGAGUCGAGUGAAAAAAAAAAGAAUGAAAUUUUUUUUACAUGGAGGGGGUUUGAAUUUUUUUCUGCCGAAUUGCCCAGAAGAAACAACUUAUUUUUUUUUUCACAAUCUCGUAAAAAUAUUUUAUAGAAAAAAUUCUUACGUCGAAACCAACAAACGAAAAUUAUUUUCAUACGCGAAAUAUUUUUCGGUUCUUUUACGUUGAACAAACACCUCCAUUAGCCUAUUUGGUGUCGCUCAUAUGAACAUAUGCUAGCAACUUUUUUUUUUUUUUUUUGAGAGGAAAGGGACUGUACGGCAUUUACUAUCCAUUUCGUUUAUUUUUUAGAAUAUAUUUUUUUUUUUUUAGAGAUAGGGUAGCACGCUACCCCACUUUGUUAUAUUUAUUUAAUAAAUCAAUAAAAUCGUGCAAACAGUGAAUCAGUGAGAUUCGAACUUGCCGGGUCAUCGGAUCCACAACCAAAAUGUCGUUUACGCACUUGCUCUAUUGAACGGUCGUCAUUUUUAGAAUAAAACUUAGCUGGAAAUGUGGAAUCAACUAGAAUUCGAAACUUGGACUCGGUAACAACCAACUCAAACUUCUUUUGCAUUGGCGCUAAGCGAUCGUCAGUUGUAGCAACUUUAUGGACCAGCAUUCUUCAAACUUAGAUUCCCCACCCAUCUUCAAAGUUUUGCAAAGCUGUGGACUCAAUGCGCAAUGAAUGAAAUUUCAUUAUUUAGUUUGUAUUUUGGCAUCAUUGGUCAAGUUGAUGAUCCUUUCUUGUGGGUCUCACAUUGAUGACUUUGAUAUAACAGCUGUAAUAUAUUGUUCAAAGAGCUAAUUAUCCCAACUAAGGUCAAUUGCGAAUCGCUGCUAAAGAAAACUUGCCAAUUCAUGCUCAUAUCUUUUUUUUUUAUUUUUAUGUUCAAUUGGUUUGAAUUUAGGUUCACUAUGAAUUAACUGCAUUGAUACAUGUCACAAAUUAAUGGUGUAGGUGUUAGAUGUGACUCGAAAUCUACUAUCGAUUCAGGUUCGGAUUCGACUCACCGACAGUUUCGCGGUGCGACCAAUGGUGAAAAAAUUAUUGAGGAAAAAUGAAUGUCCUGUGGUGGGUAGCGAGGGCUCGGCCGACAGCGCCGAGCCCGUAAGAGGCGUGCUGAUCGUUUUUGCCCUAGAAGCGUGUGAUCGUGGUCGGUUGUAAUCUGAAGAAUAUUGUAUUCCCUUUUUCGUUUCAUAGGGAAGAUCUCUCCUUCCUCGCCCGUGGUUUUUUUUCCCUGCAAAGUUUUCCAGUAAAUCUGUGUCUCUUUAUUUUCUGCUUGUGGUUUGAUUGUUUUUUGUUGUUCGUUCGUCAUUUUGUUUCCGGUUGUGUGUGUUGUCGUACCAGUAGGUUUUGAUUGAAUGCGACGUAUUUAUUAUUGUAAACAGCAGAGCACUUGCAAUGUAUGUGCACGGUAAUUGAUAAUGUAUCUUUGAGAUUGUAGUAAAGGUACAAUAUAACGACGAAGAACUAUAUUAUAUAUUCACCAUAUUUUGCUUUAUGUAUAUGCUUGAUAAAAUUAUAUUGAGAAAAUAAUGUGAUAAAUUUUAUUAUCCAUAAAAUUAAAUAUAGUAGGAAAAUAAGGGCUCAUCCAUGACAAGAAGAUUUAACAAAUAUGGAGAUUUGAGAAUCUAAAUUGCAUCUAUUGUGUUAUUGAGAAUGGCCUGGUGGGGUUCCAACAAAGAAAAUAAAUAUCGUAAAUAAUCAUGCUGCAUGGCAGAACGGGGUUUAUUUAAGAACAUUAUUCGAAACUAAUUUUACUAAAAAUUGUGCAAUUUCACCAAUGUUAAUAGAGAAAAGCUACAAAUGAAAUCAAUGUUAAUGAACACUUAGUUAUGUUAAGUGUAUCUUAAUGAGCAGCGUGCUCUAAAUCAUUAUCCAUGAAUGAUCAUGAAGCUAAUGCAUGUUUAGCGUUUGCACGAUUAGUCAAUCGAUCAUUAGUAAGUGAAUUCUUUGAUUCGAGUUGUUUACAUUUCAAUUAAUUUCAAUUCCACAAAUGUUGACAUAUCAUUUCUUUUAAUUAAUUAGUUCCCUCCUUCUCUUAAUUAGUAAUUUGUUUUAAUAUAAAAGAUUUAAAGCGCGGUUUAUAAUACACGCAAUGAAAUGAGAAGAAAAAUGCUUAAUUUGAAUAAUCAGAUAACUGAGAAUUGUAACCACAUUAUGCAAAUUUCAAAUUAAAAAUUUGCCAAUAGUUUAUUUAAAAAUAGAAUUUCUAAUUGUUUUACAAUAGUGAAAAGUUAUUAAGGAGAGUUAAUUAAUAAUUAUUAGUGGUGCUCGUUCGAAUAAACUCUAUCAAACAUAAAAAAAAUAUGGGAUUUAUUAGCUUAGUUUUAGUUUUCUUUUCUUCUUUUUUCAAAUUCUCCCUCAUUAUAUUUUAUUCAUCACUUUGCUACAAAAUGUGCGGAAAAUGUUGUAUCUAAAUUGUUUAUUAAUUAAGGUUAAGGUUUGAGGAGAGAUAUAUGUAGCCAAAUUAAUGUCAAUGAUAACACUUAAUAACGUACACCUGAACCUAAAUUUAGUUGAAAUUUUGAACUUUGCUUUGGUGUGGGACUUCAUUUAAGUAGUCACACAUUUUACUCAAUUGUUACUCAUUGUUAAAAUAACAAUAGAAAGGCAGAGGUCAUUAAAUUAAUUAAACUUCUAACCCCUUUUUUUAAGAAAAAAAGAUUGAUCGUGAAUGAGAUGAUGCGCAUGCACACUGAACAUUAACACGAAUACGUACAAACACAUCGUCACCGCAAUGCAAUGGGUUAUUAGCUAUAAAAACCAAUACCAAUUGCGCGUUCAAACUACAACAGCCAUCUCUAGAUGAAAUUAAUCGCGAUCUUUAAAAGUUUACUAAACUUUUAUAUAAUUACUCGUGAUAUGAGUUGCUGUAUGUAUAUAUAUAUAUAUAGAGCUAAAGCUGGUAUAUUAUCGUAGCACGGAGGCCUCCGUGCUACAAGUGUUUUCAAUGAUGCGGCCUCUUAAAUCGACGAUCGCUCCGUUAGACUUGUCUACAUUAUUGAAAGUAUUUGGAACUAAAUUUCAUGAUUUUUCGGCGUCAUUUUACCAAUCAAACGAGUAGUUUAAACAUGAACGGCUUGAAAAUAAAUCUCAUAAAAAAUAAUGAUAAAGAAUUCAAUUUCAAAUCGGAAGUAUUGGUCUUGCUAUUUGAUUUUAAGUAGAAAUUUCUAUUAAAUUUUCAUGUAAUUUGGAUACUUCGUAUACCGUUGAAUUAAAAACGCAUCAUAGUUCCAUUAAAAUUGUUAAUUUGGAACCUUUGAUCACUAGACCGAAUGAUGUCGAAAAAUUAUUAGUUUCAAAUAUUUUAAUAGUGUGAUCAAGUCUAAGAGAGCCGAUCUGUUCGAUUUGAAGCCGCAUAUUGGAAAACAACUUAGUAGCACGGAGGCCUUCGUGCUACGAUAGUAUACCGCCUAGCUCUAUAUAAUAUAUAUAGAGAGAGAGAGAGACGAGAGAGAGAGAGCAGAGAGAGAGAGAUGAGAGAGAGAGAGAGAGUCCGGCUACUAUACUUUUAUGAGUGAUUAGAGUCUAUUGUAUUUAUAAUUUUGACCGUUAGAUCUACCAUUUGAUUAUUUUACCUGUUAGAUUAUAUUAUUCAACCAACCACGCCACUCUAACCCUAGUGAGACACCACUAUUAACCUGCGCGUAACCACUUUCAUCGCUAACCGCACAUUUUUUUAUUUGAACAGUCGAAAGCUUAUAAUACAAAGAGCUAUACUCAUAUGAGUAUAGUAGCCCAGGCCUAUAUAUAUAUAUAUAUAUAUAGAGAGAGAGAAGAAGAGAGAGAGAGAGAGAGAGAGAGAGGGGGUGUCAGAGAGGAGAGAGAGAAGUUGAGCUAGAAUACUAUCGAUAGCAAGUGGGCUACGUUGCCACCAAUUUGUUUUCGAUGAUAGAGCGUCCAAUCGACGAUCGGCACCUUAAACAUGAUCUAUACACUUGAAGUAUUUAGAAAUCAAUUUAAAUCUUUUCGACUCAUUUGCCUAAUGAUCAAAAGGCGUUUCAAAUUUGUAAUUUUAAUGUCGAUAUGAGACAUUUUUCGUUUAAAGGGUAAAGAUAUCCAAAUCAAUUGAAUUUUUGUUAGAAAAUUCUUUAAAACUAUUUUAAACAAGAUCUAUACUAUUGAUCUUUGAUUACAAACUCCUAUCAUCAUUUUUAAAAAAUAUUUAAUUUUCAGCCGUUCAUUUUCGGGUUCACUCGACGGAUAAGAGAACACUAUCGAAAAUGUAUGAAAUUUUGAUUUCUAAACACUUCAAGUAGUAUAAUCAUGUUUCAACGGUGCGAUUAUCGAUUUGAGGGCUCCAUCAUUGAAAACAAAUAGGUGCGCAACGGAGCCCGUUUGCUGUCGAUAGUAUCGUAGUCAACUCUAUAUUAUAUAUAUGAUUCGCGCUGGGUACUAUCGAUAGCACCAAAAUUUGGUAAUAUCGAGUUUUCCACCGUUAGAUUUAACCUUUUGAUUAUUUUUACCCGUUUAAUUAUACUAUUUCAACAACACUCACUCAACCCUAGGAGGCCCACAUCAUCUAACCAUCAAUUUCUCAAUCCAAUGGCUAAAAAAUCAAUAGCACCAAUAGCUUGUGCUAUUGAUAGUAUUCCACCCUAAGUUCUAUAUAUAUAUAUAUAUAUAUAUAGAGUUAGCUGGUAUACUAUCGGUAGCAUGGAGGCCUCCGUGCUAUCAAUGUGUUCAAUGAUAUGGCUUCCAAAUCAGCGAUCGUUCGUUAGAUUUGAUUUGCAUUAUUAAAAUAUUUAGAAACUAAUUUCAUAAUUUCGAUAUCAUUUGGCUAGUGAUCAAAAGGAGCUCAAAAUAUGACAAUUUUAAUGAUAGAUGUGGUGCGAUUUGUGAAUUUAACAGUAAAAAUAAUCCAAAUAUGAUAUUUUAUUAGAAAUUCUUGUUUACUAUUUAAGAGUAAGUUCAGUACCUCUGAUCUUAAAUUCAAGUCCUUUAUCACCAUUUUCAUGAAAUUUUUAUUUUUAUCCGUUCAUUUUUAGGACUACUCGUUUGAUAGGUAAAUGAUAUUAAAAUUAUGAAAUUUAGAUUCCAAAUACUUUCAAUUAGUGUAAGAUCAAGUUUUUGACGGAGCUGUAUCAUCGAUUGAAAGUCACAUCAUUGAAAACAAUUUGUAGCACAGAAACUUCCGUGCUACUGAUAGUAUACAGCCUAUAUUAUAUAUAUAUAUAUUAUAUUUAUAUAUAUAUAUAUAUAUAUUAAUAUAUAUAUAUAUAUAUACUAUUUAUAAUAUAUAAUAUAUAUAUAUAUAUAUAUAUAUGAAUAUAUAUAUAAUAUAUAUAUAUAUUUAGGCUACUAUACUAUCUAUAGUACGGGGCUCCCGGUACUAUAGUGUAGUUUUCGAUCUUCGGGCAUUCAAAUUAAUGAUCAACACCGUUGAAAACUGGAUGUAGGGAUUUAAAGUUUUUAGAAAUAAAUUUUUAUUUUUUUCGACAUCAUUUACUUAGUAAAUAAAUUAUGUCAAAUAGACGGUGGGAAUUGAAUACUCUUUAAAAUUUGAGCAUGAGGACUUUUAAAUUCAAGAUCAAGAAUGGUAGCCUUAUAUAUAGUUUAAAGUAUUUUCUUAUCAAAAUUUGUAAAGAAAUUUAGAUUCUUCUUACACGUUAACUCCCAACUCGUCAUAAUAACAUUGAAAAUUGACAAUUUUGAAAUGUUUUGAUCAUAAUGUAAACUAGUCAAAAAAUAUAAAAAUUAUUUUCUAAAAACUUAAAUAUCCUAGAUCAAUUUUAACGGUGUGGAUCGUUAAUUUGAGACGCCCGAAAAAUCGAAACACUGAUACUAUAGUACGGAACUCCCGAUACUAUAGCAUAGUAUAAGUAGCCGGACCUCUCUCUCUCUCUCUCUUGUCUAUAUAUUAUAUAGUAUAUAGUGUAGGCCCGCGCUUUGGUGCGGGAAUAAUAUAUUUUUCAAAUUUUAAUAUUUUUUAAUUUAUACAAAUUUAAUAAAUAAUUGUUCUAGUAUUUUAGCAAAUUUAAAAUUUUAAUUUUAUUACCCAAUCCAAACAGGCCCUAAGUGUAUCAAAUAUGAUACGGGAUUAUUUUCUGCACUAUAUAUAAAAAUGUACAUAUGAUAUAUAUUGUAAUAAUAAAUUAUCUAUAGAUGAACAUAUCAAUUUGGUGGCAUUGUGUGAUUAAAAAUUAAUAGAAAAAUAUAAAGAAAAAAAAACAAUUGGUUAACUAUACACUAAGUUUUUAAUUGAUUAUCUAUUCUCUAAUCAAAUGAAUAUAUUAAUUUGAUCAGAUAAAUCUACUUUUCCAUGAAGUGAUAAUGAUGUGAAUUUAUAAAAAAAUAAAAACUGGGACGCUAUGAAUCAUGACAAAGAAAAAGCAAAGUAUAGUAAUAAGGCUAAUCUAAUUGCGAAAAGCAAGCAAGANNNNNNNNNNNNNNNNNNNNNNNNNCUAUAAUAAUAAUAUAUAUAUAUUAUAUAAAAUAUAUAUAUAAUAAAUAUAUAUACAAUUAAUAUAUAUGUAUAUAAUAAUACAUAUAUUAUAUAUGUAUAUAAUAAUUAGCACCUUUCUACAAAACUAUCUAUAGUACUGGGGAGCCCCGACUAUGUGUUAGUUUCAGUUUUCAUUCUUCGGCCAUUCAAAUUAAGAUCAACCACCUGUUAAAACACUGAUGUAGUGUAUUGAAAGUUUUUAAAAUAAAUUUAUAUUUUUCACUAUUCAUUUACUAGAAAUACAAUUUAUGUCAAAAUAACGGUUUGUGGGAUCCACUAUUUAAACUUACAUAGGACUUUUAAAUCAAGGACAGGAAUGUUAGCCUUGAAUCUAUUAUGUUAAAUUUUCUAUCCAACAAUUUGAAGUAAACUUUAUACCUUCUACUACGUUUAAACCCCACACUCGUCCAUAAAUACACCAUGAAAUUAUGACAAUUUGAAAUUGUUUUACAUACAAGUAAAAACUAUUCAAAAAAUAUAAAAACUAUUCUCUCAAAAACUUUAAAUAUUAAUCAUUUAACGGUCGUGAUCCGUUAAUUGAACGCCGAAAACUUCGAAAACAUGUACCUAUAGUACGGGAACUCCCUCAACAUAAUAGUAUAAGUACCGACUCUCUCUUCUCUCUCUCUCUAUAUUAUAUAUUAUAUAUACUAUGUUAGGUCCGCGCCGCUUCCGUAAAAUAAUAUUUUAUCAAAUUCAAAUAUUAAAUUAUACAAAUAUUAAUAAAAAUUUUAGUACUUUUAGCAAAUUUAAAAAGUUUUCAAUUCGUAUACCAAUCCGAAAAGCCUAAUGUAGUUGCAAAUAUGACUACAGGGAUAUUUUCAUGCCUAUAUAAAUUUAUUAUAUGUACUUAUAUCAAAAUGAAAUAAAAUCUAUAGAUGAACAUAUCAAAUCUUGGUGCUUGUUGUUAUUAAAAAUUAAUAGAAAAAUAUGAAGAAAAAAAUAACAAUUGGUUAACUACACUAAUUUUAAAUUGAUCAUCCUAUCUUAAUCAAAUGAAUAUACUUAAUAUUUGAUCAUAUAAAUCUACUUUUUCCCAUGAAAGAAAUUAGUGAAUUAGCUACAAAAAAAAAAACACUGAGACCUAUGAAUGCAUACAAAGAAAAAAAGAUAGAAUAAGGUAAUCUAAUUGUAAAAAGCCAAGAUCAAGAAACAAUUAUUAUUGACCAAAAAAACUACACACAAUGUUUCACUCUACUUCUAGGCCAAUAUUAUAUGCCUAUAUUGUUAAAUUUAUAACUGCUAUCUAUGAAAUAUAGAAAAGACAAUAGAAAAGGUAUAAAUGAUGAUUAAAUUUUCAUGUAAUUCCAUUAGAAUGAAACUGCCAAACUUAAAAAAAAUACUAUAUAUAAACUUAUAAAGACCACCCUUAGAACAAAAAAAAAACUUGGUCAAAUAAAAUGUGAUUAAUUUAUAAAUUAAUUUUUAACAUAGAGAAUAAAUUACUGUGAUAUAACAAUCAUGCGAAGCCCCAUAAAAAUAUUAUAUAUCAUGACCAAAUUGAUUAAUUAUAGUAUUAAUUAUAUAUUAAAACUAUAGAUAUGUAUCUCAGUGAACUAAUAUCUACUAAUCAUGAAACCAAAAAAGAUUAUGACCUCGUUGAAGAUUUAUAUAUUAAUAUAUAUUUACAAACUAUUAUGUAUUGAUUAUACUUGUAUAGCAUAUUAAUCAAUAAAUUUCUCAUCUUCUUGGCGUCAAGAGGAUGUAAUAUAACUUCCCACCCUCCGCAAACAUUAAUUCGCCUAUAUAGUUAUAGAUAUACUAUAUUAUAUAUAGAAUGAAGCUAGAAUUACUCUCGAAGUAACGGCACUAGCAUUUCAUAUCAAUGUUUCUUGAUAAGACUUUCCGAAGUUUACCAUCGGCCCGGAAAAUAUCAAAUCUCCACCAAUAAUAAUAGCAACCCUCCUGAUUGAAAAAUUAUAUUAUAAAAAUUAGACUAAUUUUCAUUGCACUCCUUGUAAAUAAUCCAAUUAUAAAUGAAACAAUAUUAUUGACCAAAAACCUAACAAAUUUUUCACUCUACUCUAGCCAAUAUUUAUAGUGUGCUUAUAAUUGUAAAUUUUUAUAACUGUUAUCUAUGAAAAAGAAAAGACAAUAUAGAAAAGAGUAAAUGAUGAAUUUAAUUUUCUUAUUUAAUUUCCAUUAGAUGAACUGCCAAACUAAAAAAAAUAUUAUUGAUAACUUUAUUUAAAGAUUCCACCCUUAGAAAAAAAAAACGGUCAAAUUAAAUGUGCAUUAAUUUAGAAAUUUUUAUUUGUUUAAAGUAGAGAAUGAAGUUAAUUACUUUCGAUUAUUAAUCAUGGAAGCCAAAAAGAUUAUUAUAUAUAUGACAAUAUUGGAUUAAUUAUAUGUAUUAAUUAUAUAUUAAACUAUAGUUAUUAUUGUGAUUCAUGAAGCUAAUUACUUCCGGUUACUAAUCAUGGAAGCCAAAAAGAUUAUUGACAAUAUUGGGUUAAUUAUAUAUAUUAAUUAUAUAUUAAACUAUAGUUAUUAUUGUGAUUAUAUAUUUAUAUCAGUUAUUAAUCAUUAAAUUUCUCAUUUUGUUCUUUCAAGGAGGGAAUGUAAGAUAACUUGCCACGUGGCAAGAAUUAUUCUGGCUUCAUAUAGUUUUAUAGAUAUAUAUAUAUAUAUAGAGUUGAGCUAGAAUACUCUCGAUAGUAAACGGAGCAUUUUACUAUCGAGUUGUUUUCGAUGAUAGAGCUUCCAAAUUGACGAUCGGCUCCGUUAAAUAUGAUCUAAUCUCCACAAUAAUAUAUAGCACCCUGAUUGUAAAAAUAUAUGAUAUAAAAAUUAGGAUUAAUUUCAUGCAGCUCCUUGUAAAUAAUGAAUUAUAAAUUAUCCACGCAAAGUUCAAUUUUCAUACAUUGUUUUUGUAAAAAUUCUAAUAUUUUCAAAUAUAUUUCUGCCGUUAGAAUCCGUUAGAAAACUUUAAUUAACUAUAAAUUAAAUACUUAACUCUAAUUAAUUAUAAAAGAACUUGACAUUUUUGCUCCUCUUAUAUUAUACUAUUGUAGCUUUUGAAGGGACGUACAUAUUUGUGCCGACAAAAUUAACAUUUCACUUAAAAUAUAAAUAGUUCUAUAAUGGUAACAAAUCAGAAAAAUAUAUUUGAAAAUAUUAGAACUUUUAUAGGAACAUUAUAUAAAAAUUGAACUUUAAAGAAAUAUAUUUGUAAUUUGCUAUAUUUGCAGAGACCUGUAUGUAUUUAAUCCUAAAAAUUAUACGGUAACAACAACCAAAACAAAAUAGUUUGCAUCAAUAGACUUUGCUUUUUUGUCGCAUUAUGUGAAUCUAAUGAUCAGCGUUGGCACAUAUGUCACGCAAUCCUGUUUUGAUAAGUCGUAUUCCAAAGUUGUGCUUAAAAUAAUUAAGACUUAUUGUAGACCUUCAUGUGACUACACUCCAUUUAAAUGGAGAUAAAAGGAGGGGGGAAAAAAAAAAAAAGUCCGAGGGAAAAUCAUUCUCUCUCUCCCUCGUUUGAAUUGAAAAUUCUCUACAUCGGGGGCCUUUGAUUUCCUGAAAGAUAUAUAACCCAAAAUAAUUUUCUUUAGUUAAAAAAAUUAGUAUUUUUUAUUUUCUGCUUUUUAUUGGAAGAAACAAAAAUGGUGAAAAAAGAUGUUUUUCUUAAAAAACUAUUUUCCAGAUAAAUAAUUUUUUCACACUUUUUCGAGGGAUCAAACAGCCCUAAACAAACACCCGAGGACAUAAAACUUUGCUUUUUUUUUUUGCGGAUUUUUGUUAUUAGUCUUUAUUCUAAUAACAUAGUGUUUAAAAAGAAUAUUUAUGUAUUAUAUUACAUAUUUACGCGCCAGAGAAUUGGGAUGCAACAAGGGGAAAAAAUAAUAAGUUUAUAUAAUUUCUUAAAAAAUUCAUAUAUAGUAGUGUAUUAAUUUUCGACAUGUUAUACUCGAAGGAAAAAAUUAAUUAAGUUUGUUCCCGGGGAUAAGAAAAAUAGCGUUUGGAUAGAUAAUAUGGAAUAAGAAAAAUAUUAGAUAGUUUUGUAUAAAAAAUGGAGAUGUUGGUGGGGAUAACCGAGAACUACUAUUCUCGGCUAAAAAAUUAGUGUUUGGGUAUAAAGGGGGGGAUAAGGGCCUAUUCCUAUCCCUAUUCCCUAACCAAACGGCUAGGAGAAUUGGUGUUUACGCUUGCCCCCCUCACAAUUUUAAAUAUUUGAUCCUGUUCAUUGGAUGUAGAUGCAAAACCGAGGGAUAUCUAUGCAUAAAGACCCCUGAAAAGGGCGUUUCCACAAAUAAACAGCAUUACAGGAGGGUAUAUGCAAAUAUCCACUUUGCAGUUUGCAGGGGUAGUUAUGUAAUNUAGUGUAUUAAUUUUCGACAUGUUAUACUCGAAGGAAAAAAUUAAUUAAGUUUGCUUAAUUGUCACUCACCCAGAAUUUGGAGUAAGGUUGACUUAUGUAUGGUAUCGUUUGGUUGGGGUAUAAGUAAUAACUAGCUAUUACAGAGAUAUGUAUAAUUAUGGGGAUAAAAAAAAAGUGUUUAGAUGAAAAUUAGGUUGUUCCCGGGGAUAAGAAAAAUAGCGUUUGGAUAGAUAAUAUGGAAUAAGAAAAAUAUUAGAUAGUUUUAUAUAGAAAAUGGAGAUGUUGGUGGGGAUAGUUAUAAUCGGUUAUUAUAGAUAAUCGAGAACUGUUGUUCUCAGAUAAAAAAUUAGUGUUUGGGUAUAAAUGGGAGGAUAAGAAUCUAUCCCUAUUCCUAUCCCCUAAUCAAACACUGCAGGUAUUGUUCAAAUUAUUGUUUAUUUAUAUAUAAAAUACAUAAUUAAAUUUCAACAAGCUUGAAGCAGCUAUGCGAUGACUUGUUCAAAAAUCUAUUAUGAUCGGCACCCUCACUAACCUUAAAGUAUAUAUAAAUGUUAAAAAUGUCGUUUUCGUACAUCUUUCAUUAUGAUUUACCUAAUUCACCCUUAAGCUAACAUGUGGUUGGAAUUAGCUACUCGCUCACCUUUAUCAUUCCUCCCUAAAACGUGGACGGCGACUUAUUCUCGCUAACAAUUUAGUCAAUUUCUUUACCAUAUUCCUGGCCUUCGGCAACUCUCAAAAAUCAAGAAUUUCUGUAAAGUAUUUUAAGAAUAUAAUAAUAAAGAGUAGUGUAAAAAUCAUUGAUAAUAUUUUUUAGGGAAACUUCAAAUAUCCUUCUGUGGUUUCACACUUUUUCACUUUAGUACCCCAUGGUUUAAAGUAUAUCGAGCUAGUACCAUAUGGUUUAAAGUGUACCAAGUUAGUACCCUAUAGUUUCGCACUUUCUAACUUUCGUACCAUGUGGUUUCAAGUGUAUCAAGUUAGUAUCUUGUGGUUUUACAUUUUCUUACUUUAGUACCAUGUGGUUUCAAGUGUAUCAAGUUAGUAUCCUGUGGUUUCAUUUUUGUAUAAAGUUAGUACUCUGUGGUUUCAAUUUUCUCUUUAAGGUACUAACUUGAUAUACUUGAAACCACAAGAUACUAAAGUGAGAAAGUGCGAAACCAUAGAGUACUAACUUAAUACAUUUUAAAUCACAAGGUACUAAUGUGAAAAAGUGCGAAACCACAAUGGAAUAUUUGAAGUUUUCCCUAUUUUUUACUAGGACAAUUAGAUUAGCUUUUAGUUUGUAUUUGGAAAUUAGCAAAUGCAAGAGUGUUAAAACCUUUUUAUAAUUUUUUUUUUUUUUUUCAGUUUAGUAUUGCUACAACUACAAAUAACUACUCUAUAUAUAUAGGCUGCAUUUGGUUGGAGGGAUAUUUCAGAACAAGACUGAAUAUUCCUCUUUAUCCCUCCAAACACAAUGUAAAAUAGAACAUCCCCCUUGUUCUGGGCUUAACGAGUUAUUUCCGAAUAACCCGUUAAACCCAGUUCUUCUUUACAUGGAGAACAAAUUAGAACAAAAAAUUUUGUCUUUUUUUUUUUUAAUUAUGUCCUUUCAUUCUCUUUAUACUUUAUUUUAAUUAAUUUCAAAUAAAUCAAAUGAAUGCUCAAAUUUUAUGCUACUAAAUUAAUAUUUCUAUGAUGAUUUGUAAACAUACCAAAUUUGUGAAAUAAUAUGCUCUUCUAUAUUUAAAAUUAUAUAUUUAUAUUUAAUUUUAAUUAGUUUUAAACAGAAAAUUGAAAGUAUAUUUUUACUGCUAUAUUAUUAUACUAUUAUAUAUUAAUUCUAUUUCUAUUUUCAUAUAUUAAAUUAUAUUUUAUUAUUAUAUUCAAGAGCAUAAUUGUCAUUUUAUUUAAUUUUUAUUAAUUCAAUACCUUAUUUCAAUAUAAACAUUCAAAAAACAAUAUAGAAAUAUGCUAGAAAUAAACAAAUAAACAUCCAAAUAUAAUUUAGAACUUAUUUUAAUUUAUUUUAAAAUAUUUUUUGUUCUUAAGAACAAUAAAAAUUAUUCUCAAAAAAUUUAGUUCUCUAAUUAAACAUAGCGUAUGGUUCGAAAAAUGUUGCUUGUCAAAAGUGCUGCCUAAUGCAAUUAAUAGUGUAUUAAUUUUCGACAUGUUAUACUCGAAGGAAAAAAUUAAUUAAGUUUGCUUAGUUGUCACUCACCCAGAAUUUGGAGUAAGGUUGACUUAUAUUUGGUACCGUUUGGUUCGGGUAUAAAUAAGAACUAGCUAUUACAGGGAUAGGUACAAAUAUGGGGAUAAGAAAAAAAGUAUUUGAAUAAAAAUUAGGUUGUUUCUGGGGAUAAGAAAAAUAACGUUUGGAUAGAUAAUAUGGAAUAAGAAAACUAUUAGAUAGUUUUAUACAGAAAAUGAAAGUGUUGGUGGGAAUAGUUAUAACCGGUUAUUAUAGAUAACCGAGAGCUGCUGUUCUCGGAUAAAAAUUAGUGUUUGGAUAUAAAUGGGGGAUAAGGGACUAUCCCUAUUCCUAUCUC